AGAGAUUAAGGUUUGAUUAGGGUUUGAUUUAGGAUUUAGGAUUUAGUUUAGAAUAUAGGAUUUGGAUUAGGGUUUGGUUUAGGGUUUAGGAUUUGGAUUACGGUUUGGUUUAGGAUUUAGGAUUUGAAUAGGAUUUGGUUUAGGAUUUAGGAUUUGUAUUAGGAUUUGGUUUAAGGUUUAGAGUUUAGGGUUUAGAUUAGGGUUUGGUUAGGGAUUAAGGUUUGAUUAGGAUUUGGUUUAGGAUUUAGGGUUUGUCUAGGGUUUGAUUAAGGUUGGAUUAGGAUUAGGAUUUGGUUAGAAUUUAAGGUUUUAUUAGAUUUUUGUUAGAGUUUGACUAAGUUUUUUGUAAUAUUCUUUUAUAUUUCUUUCGGAUUUCUUUGUGUUUCUUUUAUAACUUCAAUAAAAUUUAAUUGAGCUUGCUUAAUGUUUGAUUAUGAUUGUUAACAUUUAAUUAUAAAUUCUCUAUAAUCCUAUUGAAUUGUUAGGACCUUUUGUUGCAAUUUUCUUUUACCUUCCACAGCUAGGUGCUCGGUGCAUUCUCAAGCAAGACUUCACGUAAUACGACAUAUUUGGUGAACUUGACGUGAAAUGCUUGAGGUGAAAGGAAUUUGGUUUUCUUGGAUUAUUUGAAUUUUGGAGAAGAAAUACAAGAAAGUUGGAAGAAGAGCUUUGGGUGAUAUGUGAAUUGGAGCUUUUGAAUUCUUGGAGCUUUGGAAACUAUCUUAAUAUACAAUAGCAAUAUUUUGAUUAUCAUGGAGUAUUAUAAGGCUUUAUAGAUAUGUUGGAGCAUUUUGAAGUAUCAUAAGGUAUUUAUUGGAGUAUUCCAAGGAAUAGUUUUGAUCAUUGUAGAACAAAAUGGAAGAUGUAUCAUGAAGGUUUUUGGAUAUACCGAAUAUUAUGGAUGGAUCAAAUAUUAGUGAGUUUUUUAAGGCUUUCUAUAUAUUUAUGGAGGAACAACAAAGAAUACAAGCAAUUGAAAAAGAUAUCACAAGGACAUUGCAAGGAAUCAUCAACAAAUUUGGGAGGUUUGAAGGAUGCAACAUCACUAAGUUUUGCAAGUUUAUACAUGUGAGUGGAGACAUGUCAAAUCCCUGAGGCAAAGAUGAUCUCAAGCUUACAUUUGGCUAUUGAACUUAGAUUUCAUAAACAAGUGAAGAAAUUGCUUGGAGGGGGUGUAGAAACAUGGUCAAAAUUUCAAGAACUUUUGAAGGAAGAAUUAAUUGAUGGAAAUGAGGAUAAGAUUACGAAGCAAAAGUUUUUGGAUUGGAUAGAGUUGCAAUCAAGCAAGCAUAUGGAUCUUUAUGAAUUCUUAGAAGAAUUUGAUAGGAGAUUUUAUCAACUCUCAUCCUUGGAGAGACAAUCAUUGGGUGAUUUAAAGGUAGAUUUGUUUUUACAUGGUCUUGAUGAUACCUUGGGAGAUGAGGUUUUCAUGCUUCUUGAAGAUGAGUCUAUGGAGAGUGAUUAUACUAAUAAUUGGGAGAAGUUGAAGGAAGUAGUAGUUGUUUUAGCAAGGCAACAAGAAGAAAAAACUAAAGAAGUUUUAAUAUGGCCUAAGAAAUCUUCUACUUUGGCUUCUAUAUCAUCUUUAUCAAUGCAAGGGAUUAAUCUUAAAAAAAGAAAAAUAGAAGAGUAAAUAGGGGAUUUUAAUGGAGAAACUAAUUCUUUAUAAAUGAAAGAAAUUGGAUCUUAUACCAAGGGUGGUGAAAGAGAGAAGAAAGAUUCUUUUUAAACUAUUACUAUGGAAGGCCAAGGUAUCCAAAAAUUUGAAGGUAAUGUGAAGAUUAAGGAUUUGGAAACUAAUGACAAUGUAGUUGGAAGCUAUGACUAUUCUAUAUUGAAUAAAUUUGUGCAAGUUAGUUAUGGCAAUUUGGGUGAAAAAUCUCUUGGUGAUAAAAAAGUAUUUUCUACAUUUGAAGGAGGCGAGGAUGUUUUGCCUAAUACGUUGGAUUGUAUUGAAGAAUUUAAGGUUGAACCUUUGCAAAAAAUGGAUUAUGAAUCUAUUGAAGGUUAUAAUCAUGAAGAUUGUAUGAAUUCACAACAUUAUGAUGUGAGAAGUGGUAGAAUUAUGCAUAGAUAUGAUGAUAAAAGUCAAAUUACAUAUGGCUAUGAGACCACAUAUGAGUUGGGUAAAAGAAGUUAUGAGUUUUCACAUGAUUAUUAUAAAGAGGGUUAUGAGAUUGCACAAGGUUAUGAUACUAAAUGUGGUUGUGAAACUACAAAGGAUUAUUGUGAAAGUUAUGAGACUUUUCAAGAGCAUGAGAUUUCAAAGGAGCAUGAGAAUUUUCAAUAUUAUGAGGUUAUACAAUGCUUUGAGAAAACAAAAGAUUAUGAUAUUUCACAAGGAUGCAUUCAAGAAGAUAUGAAGGAUGUUAUAUAAGAUUAUGUGGCAAAUGAAGAUUAUGGGACAAAGGAUAAGGAUGCUAAAUCAUUGACUAUGAUUAAGUUAAUUGUGAGCACUUCUCUUUUGGACCAAGGUCAAAGUUACAUAGAUAAUGCACAUGUAAUGGAGACACAAUUGGAUUUUGACAAAGAUAAAAUUUAUCAUCAAGUAUGGAAUUCAAGGGUUGAAAAUCUAAAAAUCUUCAAAUAUAAAGAUGAGAGAAAUGGAUUUAAAGAUUACAUGGACAUCAUAAAUGGGACUUGGAAUCAAAGAAAUAAGAAAAAAGAUACAAGAAAGAUGUAUGUGGCUAUGUGGAAGAGGUUUCAAUUCAAUCUUUUCAUUUCAAAUUUUGUACCUCGACAAUGGUUUGGUCAUGUGCAAAGGAGGAUAUUUGCAAACUACUUAUACAUGAGGAGUAAAUGGAAACAUUGGCAUUAACUAUGGAGGUAUAAAAAGGAGGAGGAUAUUCUUACAAGAUAUAGAUGCCUUUGAUUUCAAUUUUAUUGAAAAAAAAAAUAAUAAUAAAAAAAAAAUGAAGAAGUAUCAUUGUAAAGCAAGACUAUGGAGUUAUAAAAAGGGAGGUACAUUUACAAGAUAUAGAUGCCUUUGAUUUAAGUUUUAUUCAAAAAAAAAAAAAAAAAAAAAAAAAAAAAAAGAUUUUGGAGAAGUAUUAUUGUAAAGCAAGACUAUGAAGGUAUGAAAAGGAAGAUACAUUUAUAAGAUAUAGAUGCCUUUGAUUUCAAUUUUAUUAAAAAAAAAUAAAAAAAUAAAAAAAAUAGAGAAGUAUCAUUGUAAAGCAAGACUAUGGAGUUAUAAAAAGGGACGUACAUUUUACAAGAUAUAGAAGCCUUUGAUUUAAGUUUUAUUCAAAAAAAAAAUAUAUAUAUAUUUUGGAGAAGUAUCAUUAUAAAGCAAGACUAUGGAGAUAUGAAAAGGAGGUACUCUUAUAAGAUGUAGGUAUUAUUGGCAUUCAAAAAAUAUAUAUCUAUAUAUAUAUAUAUAUAUUAUGUGAGUUAUGAAAAGAUGAUGAGAGAUUUUUGGUAUUUAUCAAGAAAAUGGAUUGGAAGAUUUUUGAAAGAAAUUGCAUAUAUUGGAUUAAAAGAUGAUGAUAAUGGAAGCGAGUGAAGAUAUUCAAAUAAAAGCAAAUAUAAAUAAUUAUAAAAGACUUUGUCAAAGAUAUAAAUCUUUCAAGACAACAAGAUGACUUUGAUUUGAAUAGCGAAUAUGAAGAAGAAGAAUUGGAUGAGGACAUCGAAAAUAUGCACCAAAUACAAUAUUUUUGUGGCUAGAGAUCUGAUUACAACCAUGUCUCACAAACGGUCAAUCCCUGAGUAUCAAUCUAAUAUAUCCUAAGAAUUUUCUAGCCCAAUCCUACUCUCAACUUAAUCCUAGUAUCAACUAUAUUAAUUAUUUAUCUUUUCUAAUCCGAUUUUAUCAAUUUAUGGUCUUUUUAAGAUAGUAGAAGAGUCUCUACAACCUAGAAGAUAAAAUUAUUAACUAACUUUCAACCUACUAACUAUUAAGAUAAAAAAAUAACCCAAGAGGCUUUUAUAAAAGCCAUGUUUAGACACCUCAAAUUGUAAAUAAACUAAGAUAAUAAGAUAUUAAUUAGAAAUUCAAUUUUGAUUAUAAUUUCACUAUACAAUUGUAUGACAUCACGACACCGUGUCACGGCCAUAAUCAUGUAAGCUAAUAAUUACAUAUAGAAAUAGGUAGAAGUAAGUAAAAGUAGAUAAAAGUAAGUUAAUUCUAUAAUAUUUAAUAUAGAAGCUUCCUAGAAACUUCCUAGACGCUGCUUUGACUUCAUAGGUGUCUUUAAUUGACUUUUUGGAUUAGAAACGUGGUCAACAAGUUGGCCAUGUGCCACACAUGUUGUUAGCUUGAAGAUCAAGCUAACUAUGUGGCCCACACGUAGAAAAACUUGCCUUGUAAGUCAAGGCAUGUGUCCUACAAAGUCAACACAUAUUGGAGGUCCUAUGGAACGUCGCCACGUAGCCCUUAGUUAGAUAGUAUAUAUAGAGACAAGAGUGAAGGCUUCUUCACUCUUGUCAACUCCUUUCUUGCUUCUACUCCAGGUUCAAGAGUCUUUAGUUUCUUGUCUUGAGGCAAUAGCCAUUCCAGUUUCCUUAUAAUAUACCUACUUGUUUAUAUUUUGACUUAUUAUAUCGAGAUAGCCUUUUUGUGUAUAUUUUCCCUCAUCAAGUCUUUGUCCUUGACAGAUUGACAAGAGUGUACUUACAAUAUCAGAGCUUUGUUUUUCUUGAGUGAGAGUGGAUUACCCCUUUCUCUUGACAAGACAUAAGCGUAUUAGAAGUUUGCGGAUUACCCACUUCUAAACUGAUAUUGUUCUUAGUAUCUUCUUUGUUAUCAAGUCUUUCUUUUCUUUUGUCUUGAGCAGUAUCAAACAAAUUUUUCUUCUUAGUGUCAUUAUGGCAGAGCUUGUUGAAAUGAAGAGUGCAAUGGCACAAAUGCAAGAGCAAAUGAGGGAGUUAAUGCUUACGAUGCAUCAACUCAAUUCACCAACACAUGAAAGAACAAGAAUAGCAGAAAGUGGGGAUAUAGAGAUGAUCGGAGCUGCUUCAAUAUCUACAACAAAUCACGUUCUUUCUCCAAUUGUACAACACCCUGUAAGAACUAGAGAACCAAGAAUUGCCUUACCCGAGAAAUUUGAUGGUAGGAGAUCUAAGUUUCGAGGAUUCAUCAAUCAAGUACAAUUGAUAAUUGAACUUCAACCGCAAAGCUAUCCAACUCCAAGAUCACAAGUCAGGUUUAUUAGCACUCUACUUUCUGGUUCUGCAUUAUCAUGAUUUUCGUCUUUUCUUGAACAACGAAAUCCAAUAUUGGAUAAUUUGGAAGCUUUUUUGGCAGAUUUUUGAUCUAUGUAUGGUGAACACGAUGCAACUCGUGUUGCAACAAAUAAGAUCCGAAUUCUGCGACAAGGAAAUCGCUCAGUAACAAUGUAUGCUUCACAAUUUCGACAACUUGCAAUUGACAUCAAGUGGGAUGAUGCUGCACUCAUCAGUCAAUUUCUUUAUGGAUUGUAAUACGAAGUAAAGAAAUUGAUGCUCAACUUACCUGAUCCUCAAACUUUAAGUCAAGCAAUCGAUUUUGCGAUAAAAUGUGAUAAUCGACUUUUCGAAUUUCGAUCCGAAAAUCAUUCAUGGGAACCUCAACGUUAUUAUUCAAUAGCAACAUCAACAUCUUUACCAAACGUAUAUUCGGAAGUAGAAGACAUGCAAAUUGACGCGGUACGUUUUAAACCCCUAACUGAGCAAGAAAAGAUUUGUCGUCGUCAAGAAGGAUUAUGUUUAUAUUGCGGAGAACCUAAGCACACUGCUCAACAUUGUCCAAAGAAGCGACGCAACUAUAAAAUGAGGGGUAUGACGGUCAAAGAAGACAACAUGUCGGAAAACGGAUUUGUCCAGCUACAAUAGGGACCAUGCAGCUGGAACCUUGUACAAUUCCUAAUGAAGGUCCUAUCCUCUCCUCAGAACCCUCUCCUUGUUUUAUAAUAGACUUAUAUUUAGGACCUAAGAAUUACAAAGCCUCUGCUUUAUUAGAUUCGGGAGCCUCAGCAUGUUUUUUAGAUGAACAAUUUGUUAAAAGUCGUAAAAUACCCUUUGUACAGAAACCUAAACUAGUACAUGUAGAAGUCAUAGAUGGUCGUCCCUUGUCUUCUGGAGAUGUCACUCAUAAAACUCAUCCUAUAAAAGUAACAAUAGACGGUCAUGAUAGCUACAUAGCUUUUAACAUAAUUAAAUCCCCGUCUAAUCCAGUUAUUUUAGGUUUAUCCUGGCUAGAAAAAUAUAACCCUCGAAUAGAUUAAAAUUCACGUAAACUUGACUUUUCCCAGAGCGUUAUUAAUAGUUCUAUCAACCAAGUAAAAAAUUAUAAGUCUAAUAUAGUAAAACCCGUACUGAUAGGUGCAAAAGCAUUUAUACACGCAGCAAAAGAAGGAUCAACUUUUGCUAUUUAUGCUGCACCUAUUUCUGAAAACGUAAAGACUUCAAGUGGCAUUCCAAGUCAAUAUCAGGAGUAUCAAGACGUUUUUGAGAAAAAGAAUGCAGAUAUUCUUCCUGAACAUCGCCUAUAUGAUUGUUCAAUCGACCUCAAGGAAGGAACUCAGCCACCAUUUGGACCAAUUUACAGUUUAUCGCAAGAUGAGUUGGCUGAACUCAAGACAUAUAUUGACGAGAAUUAAGCGAAGAAUUUCAUACGCCAUUCAAAAUCUCAAGCAAGAGCUCCAAUUCUAUUCGUAAAGAAAAAAGAUGGAUCUUUACGAAUGUGUGUUGAUUAUCGAGGACUCAACAAGAUCACAAUCAAGAACAGGUAUCCAUUACCUUUGAUAUCAGGACUCCUUGACCAGUUGAAUCAAGCUAAGAUCUAUACAAAAAUAGAUCUAAGAGGAGCAUAUAAUCUAGUACGGAUCAAAGAAGGAGAUGAAUGGAAGACUGCGUUUCGAACCAGGUAUGGACAUUUCAAAUAUAAUGUCAUGCCCUUUGGACUCACGAAUGCACCAGCUGCUUUUCAACAUCUCAUGAAUGAUGUAUUUCGUGAAUUCUUAGACAAUUUUAUCGUCUGCUAUCUAGACGAUAUCCUGAUCUAUUCUAAAAACGUCGAAGAACAUGAAAUACAUGUUCGUCAAGUAUUACAAAAACUUAGAGAUGCAGGAUUGUACGCCAAGAUGGAAAAGUGUGUAUUUCACACUAUUCAAGUUGACUUUUUAGGAUACAUCAUUUCAAAUGAUGGUCUCAUGAUGGAUUCUAAGAAAGUCCAAACAAUCAUGGAUUGGAAGAUUCCAAGGACAGUAAGAGAUGUCCAAUGUUUCCUGGAAUUUGCCAAUUACUAUCGGAUCUUCAUCAAAGAUUUCUCACGAGUUGCAGCUCCACUUACACGCUUGACUAGUAAAGAUAAAUUUCAAUGGAAUCAAGAAGCGAAAGCAGCAUUUGAAGCCUUGAAGACAUCGUUUGUCUCUGCACCAAUCUUAUAUCGUGUUGACUUUUUCAAGGCAUUUUUUAUGGAAACAGAUGCAUCAGAUUUUACCUUGGGUGCAGUUUUAUCACAAAUGGGAACAGAUGACAAACUUCAUCCGAUAGCUUUUCAUUCAAGAAAAUUCUCAGCAGCCGAGAUCAAUUAUGAGAUCCACGAUAAAGAACUUCUUGCGAUCAUAGAUUCCUUUCAAGAAUGGCGUCAUUAUCUAGAAGGUGCUUCUAGUCCAGUCACUGUGUAUACAGAUCACAAGAACCUCGAGUAUUUCAUGUCAGCAAGCGUGUUGAAUCGUCGUCAAGCUCGUUGGAGUAUGUCUUUGUCAAGAUUCGAGUUCAUUAUCACUUAUCGGCCAGGAAAACAACAAGGUUUGUCCGAUGCCCUAUCUAGACGUUCUUAUUUUGCACCAAAAGAAGGAGAUGCAGCUUUUGAGCAACAAAGAACGGUCCUCUUAAAACCGGAGCAAUUUCAUCUCCGAGCAAUGAAAUCAACAUUGACUGUUGAUUCAACUUUUUUCAAGCAAAUCCAGUCCAGUAUGUCCUCAGACCCUCUUGUUCACGAUAUCGAGAAUAAUUCUUCCAAGUCUCAUGAUUCUUCUAAGUUCGAGUUCAAGAAUAAUCUAUUAUAUUUUGAAGGACGCCUAUAUGUUCCAGAAGGAGAAGCACGUUUACGUGUUCUUCAAGCACGUCAUGACUUUCCAGCAGCAGGGCACUUUGGAUAUAAUAAGACUUUGGAACUCAUAUCAAGAGAUUUUUGGUGGCCACAAAUGUAGAAGUCAGUCAAAGACUUUGUACAAUCAUGUGAUAUUUGUUCAAGAUCAAAAAUUCCUCGUCAUCGACCUUACGGACUUCUUCAGCCAUUACCUAUACUAGAACAACCAUGGUCUUCUGUUUCUAUGGAUUUCAUCACAGAUCUUCCAAGCUCAAGAUCUUAUGAUUCUAUAUUUGUGAUAGUAGAUCGUUUCACCAAGAUGGCACACUUUGUGCCAUGUACAAAAUCUAUCACAGGUGAAGAAACAGCUAAGCUUUUCAUUGAUAAUAUCUAUCGCUAUCAUGGAUUACCUAAAGAUAUCAUAUCGGAUAGGAGAACUCAAUUUGUGUCAAGAUUUUGGAGGACCCUUUUCAAGAUUUUAAAAGUGGACAUAAAGCUAUCUUCGGCUUUCUAUCCUCAAAUUGAUGGAGAAACAGAGCGUGUAAACCAAGUCUUGGAGCAGUAUUUAAGGUGUACUAUCAACUACCAACAAGAUGAUUGGAUAACCCUUUUACCAUUGGCAGAGUUUGCUUAUAAUAAUACGGUACAUUCUUCCACGCAACAAACACCUUUCUUUGCCAAUUAUGGCUAUCAUCCACGACUUGAUACUUUUGAUUUUUCAAAAGUUGAUAAUCCUGCAGCAGAAGAUAUGGCAAAUCGGUUGUUAGAGUUACAUGCAAUAAUGAAGACACAAUUGAAGGAAGCUCAAGAACGACAAAAGAUAAACGCAAAUCUAUAUCAUAAGGAGCAACCACAAUUCAACGUGGGUGAUAAGGUAUGGCUACUUCGUCGCAAUAUCAAGACUACUCGACCUUGUGACAAGUUGGACUAUCGUAGGCUUGGCCCCUUUUCUGUUUCUGAACAGAUCAACCCAGUUGCAUAUCGGUUACAUCUACCGGAGUCAAUGAAGAUCCAUCCUGUAUUCCACGUGUCUCUUCUUGAACCAUAUAAGACAGUGGAUAUACAAGGAAGAAGACAAAUGCCACCGCCUCCUAUAGAAGUAGAUAAUAAUGAAGAAUUUGAGGUGGAAGAGAUAUUAGACUCAAGGCAGCGCCGAAAUAAGCUGGAAUAUCUUGUUCAUUGGCACGGAUAUGAUAUUAGUGAACGCACAUGGGAGCCAUCCAGGAAUCUAGCAAAUGCAUCAGCUAAAGUCAAAGUUUUUCAUCAACGACAUCCAUCGAAACCAAGAUGAAAAUCUCUCUUAUAAAAGAAACAAGAUUGAGGCAAGAUAACAUUCAAUUUCCUAUACUUAUUUGUAACUUCUUUGCAUUUGUGACGCUAAUUAGAUGGAGAGCCAACAACCAGCGGAUUCAACUUAAGAACCUUCGUUUGCUGACCUACCGGACGAGACAUUACGAUUGUCACAACCUUCAAGACGACGCAAUCGAGAUGAACAUCUUCAAGAACGACAUGUUCUUCCUCGAAUAGAUGGUGAGAUACAACGCGUUUGGUAUCACGAUUUGGAAAGGGACUCUCGAUGUUUGGUGAUUUUGCUAGAGGUAGGAACAACUCCUGAUGGUGUUCCAAAUAUUCUAUUCGAAGGAAGUUACGAAGGCCUCAACAAUGAUCAAAUAACUAGGUGGUCUUCCCGCCCUGGUAUGGGACACUACCGAUGGUUGAGAGGCCCUAUCAAUCAUCUUCGAAGAGAACAGAGAUCAGAGUAUGUGGCGAAUACAAUUCAUCGCAUCAUAGAUUUCCUCAACAUAUGAUGACCACUCCUCGUGGAACUCGUCUCUAGAAGGGGAGUAAUGUCACGGCCAUAAUCAUGUAAGCUAAUAAUUACAUAUAGAAAUAUGUAGAAGUAAGUAAAAGUAGAUAAAAGUAAGAUAAUUCUAUAAUAUUUAAUAUAGAAGCUUCCUAGAAACUUCCUAGAUGCUACUUUGACUUCAUAGGUGUCUUUAAUUGACUUUUUGGAUUAGAAACGUGGUCAACAAGUUGGCCAUGUGCCACACAUGUUGUUAGCUUGAAGAUCAAGCUAACUAUGUGGCCCACACGUAGAAAAAUUUGCCUUGUAAGACAAGGCAUGUGUCUUACAAAGUCAACACAUAUUGGAGGUCCUAUAGAACGUCACCACGUAGCCCCUAGUUAGAUAGUAUGUAUAGAGACAAGAGUGAAGGCUUCUUCACGCUUGUCAACUCUUUUCUUGCUUCUAGUCCAGGUUCAAUAAUCUUUAGUUUUCUUGUCUUGUGGCAAUAGCCAUUCCAGUUUGCUUUUAAUAUACCUACUUGUUUAUAUUUUGACUUAUUAUAUCGAGAUAGCCUUUUGUGUAUAUUUUCCCUCAUCAAGUCUUUGUCCUUGACACACCGGGCACAAAGGUGUAGAAGGUGAGGUUGUGUUUCACAAACAUUCAAGAAAUCUUAAUAGGUUUCAUUCCUAUGAGAAGAAUAUAUCUUAAAUACCAAUUUAAAAUUGCUAAAAAAUACUCUUUUUAGUAGCCUCAUACAUACAUAAACCUCAAUUACUUUGUUACUUUCAUAUUUAAACAAUUUAGAUUUUUCUUGUAAACCCUAAUUCUAAUCAGUUAGCUUUGACAAGCUGUAACUUCUAAUUUGAAUAUCCACUUGAUGUGAAAUUUUGCAUGUAAUUUUUAGUAGCCUCAUACAUACAUAAACCUCAAUUACUUUGUUACUUUCAUAUUUAAACAAUUUAGAUUUUUCUUAUAAACCCUAAUUCUAAUCAGUUAGCUUUGACAAGCUGUAACUUCUAAUUUGAAUAUCCACUUGAUGUGAAAUUUUGCAUGUAAUUUUUAAUAUAAGUCUUUCAUAUGCUUAAGAAUUUUCAGUCCAAUCCAACUUACAGAUUGUGAGAAAACUUCCAAAAUUUGUGCUAAUGUCACUUGGUCGCCAACUUGAAAGGUGAAGCAAAAAUUCCAACAAUGAUUUCUCAUUCUCCAACUAUUAACUUUGAUUCAAAAUUGGUUUUAAGCUUGAUCUUUAAGUCUUUCAAUACUUUGCCAAAUUUCACCUUAAUCCAAUUAGUAGAUCUCUAGAUAUCAUAGAAACCCUAUCCAAUCCUAAACUGCCAACUUCUGAUAUAUACUUAUUUCAAAAUCAAGAUAUCUCCCAAUUGCACUAUUAGAUUACUACAAAAUUUCACAUACACUUAAAACACCUAAUUAUCCAAGCACUAUCAAAAUUUAAACUAUAGAUGUAACACCAAUUUUACGAACUAGUGAAGAGUGCUAGUCCUAAUUUCAUUGCAUAAAUCCCAAGUUGCCAAUAUAAACCUUGACUUUCAAUAACAAUUGCUAACUCUCUCCAAAUCCUACCAAAAUGAACCUUAAGUCUUUAAAACAAACUUUAACCUAAAUUUCAAAUUCUAAUCUUUGAUCUUUAAGUAAAAUCCUAUUUUGUCCUAGGCAGUUGUUUUAGUGGCUAGAGAUCUGAUUUCGACCCUAUCUGACAAAUGGUUGAUCUCGAGGUAUCAAUCUAAUCUAUUUCAAGGAUUUUUUUAGUCCAAUCCUAUCUUUAAUUUAAUUCUAGUAUCAACUAUACUAAUUAUUUACUUCUCCUAAUCUGAUUUUAUCAAUUUAUGGACUUUCUAAGAUAAUAAAAGAAAUUCUAUAUCCUAGAAGGUAAAAAUAUUAAUUAGUUUUUAUCUACUUGCUAUUAAGACAAUAAAAUAAGCUAAGAGGCUUUCAUAAAAGCUUUAUUAAAAUAUGUUGAAUUCUUGUUGAAUUAAUAUUAUAGAAUAUUUAUUAAAAAUUUAUUUUUAGUCAUAUUUUCACCAUAUAAUCGUGUCACAAUACGACACCGCUCUAAUAGCAAAGUCAAAAGCAUCAAUAUCAAGCAUAUAAAGAAAGUUGGAAUCAUACAAUUACAAUAUUGAAGGAAUAAUGAGUGCCUCUUUCAACCUAUCAAAGGUACUUUGUUGCUCCAUUUGUCAUUCAAAUGGAGUGUCCUUCUAUAAUAAGUAACCAUACUUUAUCACCCAUGUGGAAUAGUGGUUGUUUCUUUUGGUAGACAUCCGCAUUGACCUUUUGUUGUUCUUGAGCUUCUUUUAACUUCACCUUCAUCAUUGCAUGUAGCUGUGACAAAUGAAUUGCCAAAUCUUUCGCAGUAGGAUUAUCAACUUUUGAAAAGUCAAAAGUAUCAAGUCAUGGAUGAUAACCAUAAUUAGCAAAGAAAGAUGUUUGUUUUCUAGAAGAAUGUACCAUGUUAUUGUAAGCAAACUCUGCCAAUGGCAAAAGAGUUGUCCAGUCAUAUUUUCACUUGAGAUUGGAAGAUCCGUGAUGAAAUCCAUAGAAGUAGAAGACCAUGGUUGUUCUGGAAUGGAUAAUGGUUGAAGUAGUGCAUAAGGUCGAUGGUGAGGAGUUUUCGAUCUUGAGCAAACAUCACAAGAUUGUACAAAAUCUUUUAUUGAUUUCCACAUUUGUGGCCACUAAAAGUCUUGGAUAUUAGUUCCAAAGUUUUAUUGUAUCCAAAAUAUCCUGCUACUAGAAAGUCAUGAUGAGCUUGAAGAACACAUAAUCAAGCUUCAUCUUCUAGAACAUAUAGACGUCUUUUAAAAUAUAAUAGAUUGUUCUUGAAUUCAAACUUGGAAGUAUCAUGAGACUUUAAAGGAUUUUCCUUAAUAUCACAAAUAAGAGGAUCAGAAGACAUACUUCACUGAACUUGCUUAAUAAAAGUUGAAUCAAUAGUUAGUAUUGAUAUCAUUGCUCAAAGAUAAAGAUGCUUUGGCUUUAAAAGAAUCAUCCAUUGUUAAUCAAAAGCAGCAUCUCCUUCCUUUGGUACAAGAUAAGAUCGUCUAAAGAGUGCAUCUGAUAAACCUUGUUAUUUUCCUUAUCGAUAAGUCAUCUUGAAUUCAAAUCUUGACAAAGACAUACUCCAACAGACUUGGCGACGAUUCAAAAUACGUGUUGACAUAAAAUAUUCAAGGUUCGUAUGAUCCAUAUAUAUUGUGACUGGGCUAAAAGUACCUUCUAGAUAAUGGCACCAUUCUUGAAACGAAUCCAUGAUUGCAAGAAGUUCUUUAUUGUGGAUCUCGUAGUUGAUCUCGAUUGCUGAAAAUUUUCUGGAAUGAAAUUUAUCAUCUAUUCCCAUUUGUGACAAUACAGCACCAAAAGCAAAGUCUAAUGCAUCUGUUUCCAUAAAAAAUGGCUUAGAAAAAUCGACGUGAUACAAGAUUGGUGUAGAAACAAAGGUUGUCUUCAAAGCUUCAAAUGCUAUUUUUGUUUUUUGAUUCCAUUGAAGUUUGUCUUUACAAGUCAAACAUGUAAGUGGAGUUGCAACUUGAGAUAAGUCUUUGAUGAAGAUCCAAUAGUAGUUGGCAAAUCCCAAAAAGCAUUGGACAUCUUUUACCGUUUUUGAGAUCUUCUAAUCUAUAAUAGUUUGAACUUUCUUAGGAUCCAUCAUAAGUCCAUCAUUUCAAAUGAUGUAUCCUAAGAAGUCGACUUGAAUAGUGUGAAAUACAUACUUUUCUAUCUUGGCAUAGAGUCCUCCAUCUGUUAGUUUUUGUAAUAUUUGGUGAAUAUGAAGUUCAUGUUCUUCUGGGUUCUUAGAAUAGAUUAAGAUGUUUAGGUAACAGACAACAAAAUCAUCUAAAAACUCCCAAAAGACAUCAUUCAUUAGAUGUUGGAAUGUUGCUGGUGCAUUUGUAAGUCCAAAAGGCAUGACGUUGUAUUCAAAAUGUCCAUACCUUAUUCAAAAUGCAGUCUUUCAUUCAUCUCCUUCUUUAAUGCGUACCAAAUUGUAUGCUCCCUGUAGAUCUAUUUUUGUAUAGAUCUUAGCUUGAUUCAACUGAUCAAAAAGUCUAGAUAUCAAAGGUAGCCGGUACCUAUUUUUUAUAGUAAUUUUGUUGAAUCCUCGAUAAUCAACACACAUUUGCAAUGGUCCAUCUUUUUUCUUCGCAAAUAAAAUUGAAGCUCUUGCUGGAGAUUUGGAAUGGCAUAUGAAAUUCUUGGCCAAAUUCUCUUCAACAUAUUCCUUGAAUUUAGCCAAUUUUUUUUGAAAUAAAUUGUAGAUUGGUCCAAAUGGCUGUUGUAUUCCUUCUUGAAGAUCAACUGAGCAGUCAUAGGAACGAUGUUCUACAAGAGUAUCCACAUUAUUUUUUCUCAAAUACAUCUUGAAAAUCUUGAUAUUGGCUUGAAAUGCCACUUGAAGUCUUUCCACUAGUAGAAACAGGUGUGGCAUAAAUGACACAAGGUGAUCUUUCUUUUGCAGCAUGCAAGAAAGCGCUUGUAUCUACAAAUAUAGGUUUAAUUAUACUAGACUUAUGACUUUCUACUUGAUUAACUAUACUCUUAGUUAUACUUUCAGAAAAGUCAAGACUAUGAGAAGUCAUAUCUAUUUUAGGGUUAUAUUUUUCUAGCCAUGAUAAACCUAAAAUAACUGGAUUAGAAGGAGAUCUAAUGAUAUUAAAUAUUACAAAAUUACUUUGACCAUUAGUUGCUAUUUCUAUAGGAAGGAUUUCAUGAGUAAUAUUUCUUGAAGACAACGGAUGACCAUCUAUGACUUCUACAUGAACAGGUUUAGUUUUCUUUACUAAAAAUAUGCUAUGUCUUUUAACAAAUUUUUCAUCUAAGAAACAUACUGAGGCUCUUGAAUCUAGUAAGGCAAAGGCUUUGAGAUAUUUAGGUCCUAGAAUAAUAUUUAUCGUAAAACAUGGACAGGGUUCUAAGAGGAGGAUAGGACCUUCACUAGGCAUUGUACAAGGUUCCAGCCACAUAAUCCCUAUUGUAGUUGGACAAAUUUGUUUUCCAACAUACUAUCUUCCUUAAUUGCCUUACUCCUCAUUUUAUGGUUGCGUCAUUUCUUUGGGCAAUGUUGAACACUGUGCUUACAUUCUCCACAAUAUAAGCACAAACCUUCUUGAUGACGAUGAGUCUUUUCUUGCUCAAUAAGAGAUUUGAAACGUACUACAUCAAUUUGCAUAUCCUCUACUUUCGAAUGUAUGUGUUGAAGAGAUGUUGGUAUUGCUAUUGAAUUGUAGUUAUGUUGAGGUCUACUUGUACGGUUUUCAGAUCGGAAUUUAAAAAGGUGAUUGUCACACUUUAUAACAAAGUCAAUUGCUUGAUUCAAUGUUUGAGGAUCAUGUAAGUUGAGCAUUAAUUUUUUUAUAUCAUAUUGUAAUCCAUAGAGAAAUUGGCUAAUGAGUGCAAAAUCAUCCUACUUGAUAUCAGUUGCAAGUUGUCAAAAUUGUGAAGCAUACAACGUUACUGAUUGAUUGCCUUGUCAUAAAAUACAGAUCUUAUUGGUUGCAACAUGAAUAGCAUCAUGUUUUCCAUACAUGGAUCGAAACUCUUCUAGAAAAGCCUCUAGAUUAUCCAAUAUUGGAUCUCAUUGUUCAAGAAAAGAUGAAAAUCAUGAUCAUGCUAAACUUGAAAGAAGCGUACCAAUGAAUCUAACUUGCGAUCCUACAGUUGGAUAGCUUUGGGAUUGAAGUUCAAUCACAAGUUGUACUUGAUUGAUAAAUCCUCUAAACUUUGAUCUGGUGCCAUCAAACUUCUCAAAUAAGGCAAUUCUUGGUUCUCUAGCACUAGUAGGACGUUCCACCAUAGCAGAAGGGACAUGUGUCACAAACAUACUCAUGUAAGCUAGUAAUUACAUAUAUAAAUAAGUAGAAGUAAGUAAAAGUAAAUAAAAGUAAGUUAAUUCUAUAGUAUUUAGUAUGGAAGCUUCUUAGAAGCUUAAUAGACGUUGCUUUGACUUCAUAGGUAUCUUUCAUUGACUUUUUGGAUUAGAAACGUCGUCAAUAAGUUGGCCAUGUGCCACACAUGUUGUUAGCUUCAAGACUAAGCUAAUUAUGAGGCCCACAUGUAGAAAAACUUAUCUUGUAAGUCAAGACAAGUAUCCUACAAAGUCAACACAUAUUGGAGGUCCUAUAGAACAUUGCCAAGUAGCCCUUAGUUAGAUAGUAUAUAUAGAGACAAGAAUGAUGCCUUCUUCACUCUUAUCAAUUCCUUUCUUAUUUCUUGUCUAGUUUCAAGAGUUGUCAUGUUUUCUAGUCUUUGAUAAUAGCCAUUCUAGUUCAAUAUAUUAUCACCUUUGAGUGAUUUCUAAGUAUUUUCAAGUGACACAAGAGUAAAUAGAAGCCCUUAUCAAUCAAUUUUACUAUGGAUGAAAAGAUAAUGUCAAAGAUUUAUUAUUGACAAUGUCAAAAAUAAAUUCUUUAGAACAAUUCAUUACUCAACCUAUUGCAUGUGAUAAUCGUUUAUUUGAAAGACGUCAAGAACAAAGAUGUGAUUGGAGAAGAACAAGUCAAGUCAUGGCAAUAGCUUCUAAGUUUUUGGAAACCUUUCUAUCAAGGCGAGAGCCAAUACAAAUUGAUACGGUACGUUUUAAACCCCUCACGUAGCAGAAAAAGACUUGACGACGUCAAGAGGACUUAUGUCUAUAUUGUGGAGAAGCAAAACACACUACUCAACAUUGUCCAAAGAAGCAACACAAUCAUAAAAUGAGGAGUACGAUUGCAAAAGAAGACAAUGUAUCGAAAAACAAGUUCCUCCAGCUACAAUAGGAACCGUGCGGCUGGAACCAUAUGCAAUAUCUAGUCAAGGUCAUAUUCUCUCCUCAGAUCUUUGAUCUUGUUUUAUAAUAGAUGUGUGUUUAGGACCUAAAAAUCAUAAAGUCUUUGCAUUAUUAGAUUCAGGAGCCUCAGCUUGUUUCAUAGACAAAGACCUUAACUUUCCUAGUAGUUUAUUUCGAAAUUCUAUUAAUCAAGAGGAAAUACAUAAGUCUAGUACAUCUAAGCCCUUAUUAGUAGGGGCAAGAGCUUUCAUGCAUGCAGCUAAAGAGAGGUCAUCUUUUGUUAUAUAUGCCACGCCCAUUUCAGAUAGUGAAAAGACAUCAAGUGGUAUUCCUAGUCAAUAUCAAGAAUUCUAAGAUGUUUUUGAAAAGAAGAAUGUAAAUAUUCUUCCAGAACAUCGACCUUAUGAUUGUUCAAUUGAUCUUCAAGAUGGAGCUCAACCGCCAUUUGGACCAAUCUAUUGCUUAUCACAAAACAAGUUGGCUAUACUAAAGGAGUAAAUUGAUAAGAACUUGGCUAAAAACUUCAUAUGCCAUUCAAAAUCUUCAGCAGGAGCGCUGAUCUUAUUUGUGAAGAAAAAAGAUAGAUCUCUACGGAUGUGUAUUGACUAUCGAGGCCUUAAUAAGAUCACUAUCAAAAACAGGUAUCCUUUACUUUUGAUUUCAGGACUUUUUGAUGAACUCAAUCAAGCAAAGAUCUAUACAAAAAUAGAUCUAUGAGGAGCAUUCAACUUGAUCCGCAUCAAAGAAGGAGAUGAAUGGAAGACUGCUUUUCGAACUAGGUAUGGACAUUUUGAAUAUAAUGUCAUGCCUUUUGGACUCACAAACACACUAGCUACUUUUCAACAUCUUAUGAAUGAUGUUUUUCUUGAAUUUUUAGAUGAUUUUGUUGUUUGUUAUUUAGACGACAUUCUAAUCUACUCUAAUAACACAGAAGAACAUGAACUCCAUGUUUGUCAUGUGUUACAAAAACUAAGAGAUGCAAGAUUAUAUGCCAAGUUGAAAAAGUGUGUAUUCUAUACUACUCAAGUUGACUUUUUAGGAUACAUCAUUUCCAACGAAGGCCUAAUGAUGGAUCCCAAGAAGGUCCAGACUAUCAUAGAUUGGAAGUUUCUAAGAACAGUACAAGAUGUGCAAUGUUUUUUGGGCUUUGCAAAUUACUAUCGAAUCUUCAUUAAGAACUUCUCUCAAGUUGUAGCUCCACUUACGCGUUUGACUUGUAAAGACAAAUUUGAGUGGAGUAAAGAAGCUGAAGUAGUGUUUGAUGCUUUAAAGAAAGAAUUUACUUUUGUACCAAUCUUGUAUUGCGUCAACUUCUUCAAGGAAUUUUUUAUAGAAAUAGAUGCAUCAGACUUUGCCUUGGAUGCCCUUUUGUCAUAAAUGGGAGCAAAUGACAAGCUCUAUCUAAUAGCUUUCCAUUCCAAGAAAUUUUUAAUAGUUGAGAUUAACUAUGAAAUCUACAAUAAAGAGCUUCUUGUAAUUGUGGAUUCAUUUCAAGAAUGGCAUCAUUAUCUAGAAGGCACCUCAAGUCCAAUCACCAUAUACACAGAUCAUAAGAACCUCAAAUAUUUCAUGUCAACAUGCAUAUUAAAUCAUCGUCAAGCUCAUUGGAACAUAUUUUUAUCAAGAUUCGAAUUCAUCAUCACUUAUCGACUAGAAAAACAACAAUAUUUGUCCAAUGCCUUAUCUAGAUAUUCUUAUCUUGCACCAAAAGAAAGAGAUGCAGCUUUUAAGCAACAAAAAAUGGUUCUUUUGAAGCUGAAGUAAUUUCAUCUUUGAGCAAUAAAAUCAACAUUGACUGUUGAUUUAACUUUUCUCAAGCAAGUCCAACUAGGUAUGUCUUCAGAUCUUCUUGUUCACGAUAUCAAGAAUAAUUCUUCUAAAUCUGAUGAUCCCUCUAAAUUCGAAUUCAAGAACAACCUACUCUAUUUCAAAGGAUGCUUAUAUGUUCCAGAAGGAGAAGCACGUUUACGUGUUCUUCAAGCUCGUCACGACUUUUCAGCAGUAGAACAACCAUGGUCUUUUGUUUCUAUGGACUUCAUCACAGAUCUUCCAAGCUCAGGUUCUUAUGACUCUAUAUUCGUGAUAGUAGAUCACUUCACCAAGAUGGCACAUUUUGUGCCAUGUACAAAAUCCAUCAUGGGUGAAGAAACAUCUAAGCUUUUUAUUGACAAUAUCUAUCACUAUCAUGGGUUACCAAAGGAUAUUAUAUUAGAUAGGAGAACUCAAUUUGUAUCAAGAUUUUUGAGAACCCUUUUUAAGAUUUUACAAGUGGAUAUAAAACUAACUUCAGUUUUUCAUUCUCAAACUAACGGACAAACAGAGUGUCUUAAUCAAGUCUUAGAGCAAUACUUAAGAUGUACCAUCAACUAUCAACAAGAUGAUUGGAUAACUCUUCAGCCAUUAGCAGAGUUUAUUUAUAAUAAUACGGUGCAUUCUUCAACGCAACAAAAGCCUUUCUUUACCAAUUAUGGUUAUCAUCUAUGACUUGAUACGUUUGAUUUCUCAAAAGUUGAUAAUCCUGCGGCAGAAGAUAUGGCAAAUCAGUUGUCAGAGUUACAUGCAACAAUGAAGGCACAAUUAAAAGAAGCUCAAGAAUGACAAAAGAUAAAUGUGGAUGUCUCUCAAAAGGAAUAACCACCAUUCUACUUCGGUGAUAAGGUAUGGCUACUUCAUCGCAAUAACAAGACCACUCAUCCUUGUAACAAGUUGGACUAUCGAAGGCUUGGACCAUUUUCUAUUUCUGCACAAAUCAAUCCAUUUGCAUAUCAUUUAUAUCUAUCAGAGUCAAUAAAAAUCCAUCCAGUAUUCCACGUGUCUCUUCUUGAAUCAUACAAGACACUGAACAUACUAAGAAGAAGACAAGCUCCACCUCCUUCUAUAGAAGUGGACAAUAAUGAAGAGUUUGAAGUGGAAGAAGUCUUAGAUUCAAGGUGGCACCGAAAUAAAUUGGAAUAUCUUAUCCAUUGGCGCGGAUAUGAUAUUAGUGAACACACAUGGGAGCCAGUAAAGAAUCUUGUAAAUGCAACAAAGGCGGUGGAGGCUUUUCAUCGACGACAUCCAUCAAAACCAAGAUAAAAAUAUUCUUUACAAGAGAAACAAGAACUAGACAAGAUAACAUUCUACUUUCAAUCCUUGUUUGUAGCUUCUUUGUAGUUGUGACGCUCGAGACAUAGAGAACCAACAACCAAUGAAUUCGACUCAAGAGCCUUCAUUUGAUGACUUACCAGAUGAGACAUUACGAUUGUCACAACCUUCAAGACGACGCAAUCAAAAUGAAGAUCUUUAGGAAUAAUAUGUUCUUCUUCGAAUAGAUGGCGAGAUAUAAUGCAUUUGAUAUCACGACCUUAGAAGGGACUCCCAAUGUUUAGUAAUUUUACUAGAGGUAGGAACAACUCCUGAUGGUGUUCCAAAUAUUGUAUUCAAAGGAAGUUAUGAAGGCCUCAACAACGACCAAAUAAUUGAAUGGUCUUCCCGUCCUGAUAUGGGACACUAUUGAUGGUUGAGAGGCCCUAUCAUUCAUCUUCGAUGAGAAUAAAGAUCAGAGUAUGUGGCGAAUAUAAUUUGUCGCAUCAUAGAUUUCUUUAAUAUAUGAUGACCGCUCCUUUUGGAACUUGUUCCUAGAAGAGGGGGUAAUAUCACGAACAUACUCAUGUAAGCUGGUAAUUACAUAUAUAAAUAAGUAGAAGUAAGUAAAAGUACAUAAAAGUAAGUUAAUUCUAUAGUAUUGAGUAUAGAGGCUUCUUAGAAGCUUCAUAGAUGCUGCUUUGACUUCAUAUGUAUCUUUAAUUAAUUUUUGGAUUAGAAACGUAGUCAACAAGUUGGCUAUGUGCCACAUAUGUUGUUAGUUUCAAGACCAAGCUCACUAUGUGGCCCACAGGUAGAAAAACUUGUCUUGUAAGUCAAGACAAGUGUCUUACAAAGUGAACACAUAUUUGAGGUCCUAUAAAAUUGUCACGGCCAUAAUCAUGUAAGCUAAUAAUUACAUAUAGAAAUAGGUAGAAGUAAGUAAAAGUAGAUAAAAGUAAGAUAAUUCUAUAAUAUUUAAUAUAGAAGCUUCCUAGAAACUUCUUAGACGUUGCUUUGACUUCAUAGGUGUCUUUAAUUGACUUUUUGGAUUAGAAACGUGGUCAACAAGUUGGCCAUGUGCCACACAUGUUGUUAGCUUGAAGAUCAAGCUAACUAUGUGGCCCACACGUAGAAAAACUUGCCUUGUAAGUCAAGGCAUGUGUCCUACAAAGUCAACACAUAUUGGAGGUCCUAUAGAACGUCACCACGUAGCCCCUAGUUAGAUAGUAUAUAUAGAGACAAGAGUGAAGGCUUCUUCACUCUUGUCAACUCCUUUCUUGCUUCUAGUCUAAUUUCAAGAGACUCUAGUUUUCUUGUCUUUUGGCAAUAGCCAUUCUAGUUUCACUUUUCAAUAUACAUACUUAUUAUUCAUAUUUUGUUACUUUUCUUUGAGUGAAGGCUUACUUGUCUGAACUAUUUUUUCAUCGAGUUCUUGUCCUUGACAGAUUGACAAGAGUGUACUUACAAUAUCAGAGCUUUGUUUUUCUUUAGUAAGAGUGGAUUACCUCUUUCUCUUGACAAGGCAUAAGCGUAUUAGAAGUUUGCGGAUUACCCACUUCUAAACUGAUAUUGUUCUUAGUAUCUUCUUUGUUAUCAAGUCUUUCUUUUCUUUUGUCUUGAGCAGUAUCAAACAAAUUUUUCUUCUUAGUGUCAUUAUGGCAGAGCUUGUUGAAAUGAAGAGUACAAUGGCACAAAUGCAAGAGCAAAUGAGGAAGUUAAUGCUUGCGAUGCAUCAACUCAAUUCACCAACACAUGAAAGAACAAGAAUAGCAGAAAGUGGGGAUAUAGAGAUGAUCGGAGCUGCUUCAACAUCUACAACAAAUCACGUUCCUUCUCCAAUUGUACAACACCCUAUAAGCACUAGAGAACCAAGAAUUGCCUUACCCGAGAAAUUUGAUGGUACGAGAUCUAAGUUUCGAGUGUUCAUCAAUCAAGUACAAUUGAUAAUUGAACUUCAACCGCAAAGCUAUCCAACUCCAAGAUCACAAGUCAGGUUUAUUAGCACUCUACUUUCUGGUUGUGCAUUAUCGUGAUUUUCGUCUUUUCUUGAACAACGAAAUCCAAUAUUGGAUAAUUUGGAAGCUUUUUUGGCAGAGUUUCGAUCUAUGUAUGGUGAACACGAUGCAACUCGUGUUGCAACAAAUAAGAUCCAAAUUCUGUGACAAGGAAAUCGCUCAGUAACAGUGUAUGCUUUACAAUUUUGACAACUUGCAAUUGACAUCAAGUGGGAUGAUGCUGCACUCAUCAGUCAAUUUCUUUAUGGAUUGCAAUACGAAGUAAAGAAAUUGAUGCUCAACUUACCUGAUCCUCAAACUUUGAGUCAAGCAAUCAAUUUUGCGAUAAAAUGUGAUAAUCGACUUUUCGAAUUUCGAUCCAAAAAUCAUUCAUGGGAACCUCAACGUUAUUAUUCAAUGGCAACAUCAACAUCUUUACCAAACGUAUAUUCGGAAGUAGAAGACAUGCAAAUUGACGCGGUACGUUUUAAACCCCUAACUGAGCAAGAAAAGAUUUGUCGUCGUCAAGAAGGAUUAUGUUUAUAUUGCGGAGAACCUAAGCACACUGCUCAACAUUGUCCAAAGAAGUGACGCAACUAUAAAAUGAGGGGUAUGACGGUCAAAGAAGACAACAUGUCGGAAAACGGAUUUGUCCAGCUACAAUAGGGACCAUGCAGCUGGAACCUUGUACAAUUCCUAAUGAAGGUCCUAUCCUCUCCUCAGAACCCUCUCCUUGUUUUAUAAUAGACUUAUAUUUAGGACCUAAGAAUUACAAAGCCUCUGCUUUAUUAGAUUCGGGAGCCUCAGCAUGUUUUUUAGAUGAACAAUUUGUUAAAAGUCGUAAAAUACCCUUUGUACAGAAACCUAAACUAGUACAUGUAGAAGUCAUAGAUGGUCGUCCCUUGUCUUCUGGAGAUGUCACUCAUAAAACUCAUCCUAUAAAAGUAACAAUAGACGGUCAUGAUAGCUACAUAGCUUUUAACAUAAUUAAAUCCCCGUCUAAUCCAGUUAUUUUAGGUUUAUCCUGGCUAGAAAAAUAUAACCCUCGAAUAGAUUAGAAUUCACGUAAACUUGACUUUUCCCAGAGCGUUAUUAAUAGUUCUAUCAACCAAGUAAAAAAUUAUAAGUCUAAUAUAGUAAAACCCGUACUGAUAGGUGCAAAAGCAUUUAUACACGCAGCAAAAGAAGGAUCAACUUUUGCUAUUUAUGCUGCACCUAUUUCUGAAAACGUAAAGACUUCAAGUGGCAUUCCAAGUCAAUAUCAGGAGUAUCAAGACGUUUUUGAGAAAAAGAAUGCAGAUAUUCUUCCUGAACAUCGCCUAUAUGAUUGUUCAAUCGACCUCAAGGAAGGAACUCAGCCACCAUUUGGACCAAUUUACAGUUUAUCGCAAGAUGAGUUGGCUGAACUCAAGACAUAUAUUGACGAGAAUUUAGCGAAGAAAUUCAUACGCCAUUCAAAAUCUCCAGCAGGAGCUCCAAUUCUAUUCGUAAAGAAAAAAGAUGGAUCUUUACGAAUGUGUGUUGAUUAUCGAGGACUCAACAAGAUCACAAUCAAGAACAGGUAUCCAUUACCUUUGAUAUCAGGACUCCUUGACCAGUUGAAUCAAGCUAAGAUCUAUACAAAAAUAGAUCUAAGAGGAGCAUAUAAUCUAGUACGGAUCAAAGAAGGAGAUGAAUGGAAGACUGCGUUUCGAACCAGGUAUGGACAUUUCAAAUAUAAUGUCAUGCCCUUUGGACUCACGAAUGCACCAGCUGCUUUUCAACAUCUCAUGAAUGAUGUAUUUCGUGAAUUCUUAGACAAUUUUAUCGUCUGCUAUCUAGACGAUAUCCUGAUCUAUUCUAAAAACGUCGAAGAACAUGAAAUACAUGUUCGUCAAGUAUUACAAAAACUUAGAGAUGCAGGAUUGUACGCCAAGAUGGAAAAGUGUGUAUUUCACACUAUUCAAGUUGACUUUUUAGGAUACAUCAUUUCAAAUGAUGGUCUCAUGAUGGAUUCUAAGAAAGUCCAAACAAUCAUGGAUUGGAAGAUUCCAAGGACAGUAAGAGAUGUCCAAUGUUUCCUGGAAUUUGCCAAUUACUAUCGGAUCUUCAUCAAAGAUUUUUCACGAGUUGCAGCUCCACUUACACGCUUGACUAGUAAAGAUAAAUUUCAAUGGAAUCAAGAAGCGAAAGCAGCAUUUGAAGCCUUGAAGACAUCGUUUGUCUCUGCACCAGUCUUAUAUCGUGUUGACUUUUUCAAGGCAUUUUUUAUGGAAACAGAUGCAUCAGAUUUUGCCUUGGGUGCAGUUUUAUCACAAAUGGGAACAGAUGACAAACUUCAUCCGAUAGCUUUUCAUUCAAGAAAAUUCUCAGCAGCCGAGAUCAAUUAUGAGAUCCACGAUAAAGAACUUCUUGCGAUCAUAGAUUCCUUUCAAGAAUGGCGUCAUUAUCUAGAAGGUGCUUCUAGUCCAGUCACUGUGUAUACAGAUCACAAGAACCUCGAGUAUUUCAUGUCAGCAAGCGUGUUGAAUCGUCGUCAAGCUCGUUGGAGUAUGUCUUUGUCAAGAUUCGAGUUCAUUAUCACUUAUCGGCCAGGAAAACAACAAGGUUUGUCCGAUGCCCUAUCUAGACGUUCUUAUUUUGCACCAAAAGAAGGAGAUGCAGCUUUUGAGCAACAAAGAACGGUCCUCUUAAAACCGGAGCAAUUUCAUCUCCGAGCAAUGAAAUCAACAUUGACUGUUGAUUCAACUUUUUUCAAGCAAAUCCAGUCCAGUAUAUCCUCAGACCCUCUUGUUCACGAUAUCGAGAAUAAUUCUUCCAAGUCUCAUGAUUCUUCUAAGUUCGAGUUCAAGAAUAAUCUAUUAUAUUUUGAAGGACGCCUAUAUGUUCCAGAAGGAGAAGCACGUUUACGUGUUCUUCAAGCACGUCAUGACUUUCCAGCAGCAGGGCACUUUGGAUAUAAUAAGACUUUGGAACUCAUAUCAAGAGAUUUUUGGUGGCCACAAAUGUGGAAGUCAGUCAAAGACUUUGUACAAUCAUGUGAUAUUUGUUCAAGAUCAAAAAUUCCUCGUCAUCGACCUUACGGACUUCUUCAGCCAUUACCUAUACUAGAACAACCAUGGUCUUCUGUUUCUAUGGAUUUCAUCACAGAUCUUCCAAGCUCAAGAUCUUAUGAUUCUAUAUUUGUGAUAGUAGAUCGUUUCACCAAGAUGGCACACUUUGUGCCAUGUACAAAAUCUAUCACAGGUGAAGAAACAGCUAAGCUUUUCAUUGAUAAUAUCUAUCGCUAUCAUGGAUUACCUAAAGAUAUCAUAUCGGAUAGGAGAACUCAAUUUGUGUCAAGAUUUUGGAGGACCCUUUUCAAGAUUUUAAAAGUGGACAUAAAGCUAUCUUCGGCUUUCUAUCCUCAAAUUGAUGGAGAAACAGAGCGUGUAAACCAAGUCUUGGAGCAGUAUUUAAGGUGUACUAUCAACUACCAACAAGAUGAUUGGAUAACCCUUUUACCAUUGGCAGAGUUUGCUUAUAAUAAUACGGUACAUUCUUCCACGCAACAAACACCUUUCUUUGCCAAUUAUGGCUAUCAUCCACGACUUGAUACUUUUGAUUUUUCAAAAGUUGAUAAUCCUGCAGCAGAAGAUAUGGCAAAUCGGUUGUUAGAGUUACAUGCAAUAAUGAAGACACAAUUGAAGGAAGCUCAAGAACGACAAAAGAUAAACGCAAAUCUAUAUCAUAAGGAGCAACCACAAUUCAACGUGGGUGAUAAGGUAUGGCUACUUCGUCGCAAUAUCAAGACUACUCGACCUUGUGACAAGUUGGACUAUCGUAGGCUUGGCCCCUUUUCUGUUUCUGAACAGAUCAACCCAGUUGCAUAUCGGUUACAUCUACCGGAGUCAAUGAAGAUCCAUCCUGUAUUCCACGUGUCUCUUCUUGAACCAUAUAAGACAGUGGAUAUACAAGGAAGAAGACAAAUGCCACCGCCUCCUAUAGAAGUAGAUAAUAAUGAAGAAUUUGAGGUGGAAGAGAUAUUAGACUCAAGGCAGCGCCGAAAUAAGCUGGAAUAUCUUGUUCAUUGGCACGGAUAUGAUAUUAGUGAACGCACAUGGGAGCCAUCCAGGAAUCUAGCAAAUGCAUCAGCUAAAGUCAAAGUUUUUCAUCAACGACAUCCAUCGAAACCAAGAUGAAAAUCUCUCUUAUAAAAGAAACAAGAUUGAGGCAAGAUAACAUUCAAUUUCCUAUACUUAUUUGUAACUUCUUUGCAUUUGUGACGCUAAUUAGAUGGAGAGCCAACAACCAGCGGAUUCAACUUAAGAACCUUCGUUUGCUGACCUACCGGACGAGACAUUACGAUUGUCACAACCUUCAAGACGACGCAAUCGAGAUGAACAUCUUCAAGAACGACAUGUUCUUCCUCGAAUAGAUGGUGAGAUACAACGCGUUUGGUAUCACGAUUUGGAAAGGGACUCUCGAUGUUUGGUGAUUUUGCUAGAGGUAGGAACAACUCCUGAUGGUGUUCCAAAUAUUCUAUUCGAAGGAAGUUACGAAGGCCUCAACAAUGAUCAAAUAACUAGGUGGUCUUCCCGCCCUGGUAUGGGACACUACCGAUGGUUGAGAGGCCCUAUCAAUCAUCUUCGAAGAGAACAGAGAUCAGAGUAUGUGGCGAAUACAAUUCAUCGCAUCAUAGAUUUCCUCAACAUAUGAUGACCACUCCUCGUGGAACUCGUCUCUAGAAGGGGGGUAAUGUCACGGCCAUAAUCAUGUAAGCUAAUAAUUACAUAUAGAAAUAUGUAGAAGUAAGUAAAAGUAGAUAAAAGUAAGUUAAUUCUAUAAUAUUUAAUAUAGAAGCUUCCUAGAAACUUCCUAGAUGCUACUUUGACUUCAUAGGUGUCUUUAAUUGACUUUUUGGAUUAAAAACGUGGUCAACAAGUUGGCCAUGUGCCACACAUGUUGUUAGCUUGAAGAUCAAGCUAACUAUGUGGCCCACACGUAGAAAAACUUGCCUUAUAAGACAAGGCAUGUGUCCUACAAAGUCAACACAUAUUGGAGGUCCUAUAGAACGUCGCCACAUAGCCCCUAGUUAGAUAGUAUAUAUAGAGACAUGAGUGAAGGCUUCUUCACUCUUGUCAACUCCUUUCUUGCUUCUAGUCCAAGUUCAAGAGUCUUUAGUUUUCUUGUCUUUUGGCAAUAGCCAUUCUAGUUUCUCUUUUCAAUAUACAUACCUAUUAUUCAUAUUUUGUUACUUUUCUUUAAGUGAAGGCUUACUUGUCUGAACUGUUUUUUCAUCGAGUUCUUAUCCUUGACGAGAAUGUUGUUAGGUAGCUCCUUGUUAGAUAGUAGAUAUAGAGAUAAGAGUGAAGCCUUCUUCAGUCUUGUCAAUUCCUUUCUUAUUUUCAAUCUAGUUUUAAGAGUCGUCAUGUUUUCUAGUCUUUGACAAUAGCCAUUCUAGUUCAAUAUAUAACACCUUUGAGUGAUUUCUAAGUAUUUUCGAGUGAUACAAGAGUGUAUUGAGAUUAUCUUUUUUUGGAAUUCAUGUCCUUGAUAACAUGAUUUGGUGCAGAUAUUGAAGCAGCUCCAAUCAUUUCUAUAUCUUCACUUCCUGCCAAUCUUAUUGCUCCUUGUGGUGGUAAAUUGAGUAGAUGCAUCGCAAGCAUUAAUUCCCUCAAUUGUUCUUGCAUUUGUGCCAUUGUACUCUUCAUUUCAGCAAGUUUUGCCAUGAUAACACUUAAAAAAGAGAAGAUGUCUAAUAUCGCUUAAGACAAAUAAAAGGGAGGACUUGAGAACAAAAAAAAUACUAAGAACAAUAUUAGUUUAGAAGAGGGUAAUCUGCAACUUCUAAUAUGCUUAUGUCUUAUCAAGAAAAAGGGGUAAUCCACUCUUAAUCAAGAUUAGAUAAAGCUCGGAUACUAUAAGUGAACUCUUGUCAAUCUAUCAAGGACAAGAACAUGAUAAAGAUAAAUAAACAAGUGAGACUUCUCUCAAAGAAAGAUGACAAAAUAGAAAUAACUUGAUAUAUAUAUUAAAAAAGAAACUGGAAUGGCUAUUGUCAAAAAGUCAAGAAAACUAGAGACCCUUGAAACUAGACUGGAAGCAAGAAAGGAGUUGACAAGAGUGAAGAAGGCUUCACUCUUGUCUCUAUAUAUACUAUCUAACUAGGAGCUACGUGGCGAUGUCAAGAUAAAGGGAGUUUGUGUCAAGAAAAUACUGGGCUUUUGGCUGUCACUAAUUAUUCAAUCAAGCUUGAAAAUAAGUGAAGCCUUAAGUUUAUACAUAAAUAUUCUCUUUUUGAGUAAUUACACAAAAUACACAAUCCUCAAGUAAUCCACAACUUCCAAAAUAUGAUAAAAUCUUCAAAAACCUUGUUUAUUCUUAUGUGGAGAUUUUUCCAAACUUCAACACCUCAUAUCUCCUAAUCCGAUUGUCCAAACAAACUCAAAUUUUACAUGAGAUACUGAUGUAUUUGUAUUAACUUCUAUAACAAUUUUCAACUACAAAUUCGUUGUAGAGCUUGAGAUAUCUUGAAAACCCUAAUAGUCGCUUCAAACCCUUGUCUUUAUAUAUAUGUGUGCAAUUUUCUUCAUAUUUCACAAAAUAUAAUCUCAAAUACCAUGAAAUUUGUGUAUAUAGCUUUUUAACAAAAAUUUCACAUUUUCCAAAAAAUUUGAGCUAAAAAUUCGUCCGAAAACUCAAGUUAUGGCUCCAACCAUUACUACAAACAAACCCGCUUACUUACUACUUUUGAUUUGGAAGCACCGCCUUCAACUCCUUACAACUCCUUUAUAUAAACUCUAAAAGCAAUAAUUCUUUCAUAAAAGAUGUAGGUCUUGAAAUCGCCAUUCCAUUCGCAUCUUCUGAUCUUCAAAAGCUAUUGUAAAACUCCUCGUACCCUCAAAAGAGUAACAGUAUGUCUUAAAUAAAUACCUUAACUUCAAACGGCUAUAACUUCUUCACUCUAACUUCAAAUCUUCUAAUUUUUGUAUACAAAUUGUACCUCAAAUCCUAAACUUUACAAUUCUAGCUUGUAAUCUCCAAAUGCCCUCGAAAGAGGAACCCUAACGUCUAAUAAGGCCUCAGGCAGCCUCCUUGAAGCCUAUUGGGCAUGGCCUUCGACCAAUAGGAAUGAAGUUUUCCAUUCCUUGCCUUCAUCCAACCAUGCCUUGCUUUCAUCCCUCCCAUUAAGCCUCCUAUUAGUUGAGAUUUUCUUCUUUUGGCCCAAACCUUCUCUUAAGCUUUAUACUAAAUAUUUAGGUCUUAUAUAUAUAUAUAUAUAUAUAUAUAUAUAUAUAUUUUUAAUGUCAAAAUCAAAACAAGUAAUGAAACAAAGUAAAGUUUCUUAUACCAACUCUUUUUAAUUUAAUCUACUAGCCACUCUAACACACAUCUAGAUUUAUUAACAUAUAAUAUGUUCUAACUAAUUUUUACAUACUGUAAGUAUUUACAGUACGACAGCAACGUUCUAUAGGACCUCUAAUAUGUGUUGAUUUUUUAGGACACAUGCCUUGACUUACAAGGCAAGUUUUUCUAUGUGUGGGCCAUAUAGUUAGCUUGGUCUUCAAGCUAACAACAUGUGUGGUAUAUGGCCAACUUGUUGACUACGUUUCUAAUCCAAAAAGUCAAUUAAAGACACCUAUAAAAUCAAAGCAGUAUCUAUAAAGUUUCUAGGAAGCUUUCAUACCAAAUAUUAUAAAAUUAACUUAUUUUUAUAUAUUUUUACUUACUUUUACCUGUUUAUAUAUGUAAUAAGUGGCUUAUAUGAGUAUGUCCAUGACAGUUCCUUCUAAACCAUAGCAAUAUAAAGCUUCAUCACAAAAUAGGAUAAAAUAGAAUAGAACAAAACUAAAUGGAACUAAACCAAAAUAGGACAUAAAAGAUAAACUGAGAAAAUUGAAACAAAACAGAACAGAUCUUAACAGAAAGAUACAGAACCAAAUUUUACUACGAUAAAGGAUCUGAAGCCAUACUUGACUAGAUGCUCCAAAAGGCCUUGGCCCAUCCUAUUUAUACCUUGUUCUACCACCCUGGACUCUGUAGAAUGUUCCUAAGUAGUGAAUUCCAUCUAAAUAACUACAUUAAAUUCAUUUUUUGGAGGUUUUUAAGUGGAUUCCAUCUAAAUAACCAUCCUAAGUCUUUUUUAGAAGGUUCUAUAGUAUGUCUCAUCUAAAUAAUCAUCUUAAACUCUUUUUAGAAUGUUCCACAAUAGAUCCUACUUAGUCCACUAACUUAACUCCAAUUCUAGAAACUUUUGUGGUUCUAAUUAUCUAUACAAUUAUUAUAUCUAGACCUUGUUACAGAUAUGGUUGGCUAUUUAUCCUUCUACAAUUAUUCAUUUGUUGAAGUCAAUAGCAUUUAGAUAUUUGAAAUUGUGAUUGUAAUUGAAGAAUUUAUCAAAGUUAUGAGGCCUUACCAUAAUUAUUAAUAAGGAGGAAGUAUCAAUAUCUUAUAUAAGAAAUCUAUUUACUUCUUGGAUUUAAGAAUGUAAACUCCUUAAAUUUGAUCUCUAUACUUUAAUGGCUAUGUUACAAUGAAUUAUUGCAUGUAUGAAGGAAAUAACUUUUCUUACAAUAUUACCGUGAAAUUUGAUGAAUAAUUUCAUGUGAAAUGUGGUCAGUAAUAUAUAGCUCUUAAUCAAGGGUAGUUGUGAUUAAGACAAUUGAAAAUGUUGUUAAUAUUUUCAUACAACUCAAUGAUGAAGAUAUAAUCAUAUAUAGCAAGGUUAAGAAUUCAACUUCAAUCAAUGCUAAAAAGAAGUUCAAAGUUUAUAAAAGUGAGAAAGAGCAAGUUCAUUCAUAAAAAGAACUCAAACAAUCAUUGUUUUAUAUUUUGUAUGUCUAGUUCUUAGAAGUGAAUGAAAAGGGUAUUACAUUGCAAAAACUUUUUGAUGACUUAAAAAAAUAAACAUAUUUACCAAACAUUACAACCGAUUUGAAGAAGUAAGUUAAAUCUCACUUUGAAAAUAAUUCCAACUUUGAUAAAGUAAAUAGAUGUUACUUUAUGUGUAAUUAAUUUGUGCACCCAAAGUGCCAAGUUGUUGCAUUCUACAACUCUUAUGUGAACACAAGUCUUAAAAUAACUUCUAAUUCUCACAUUCCAUUCUUGAAAUUAUCUAUUCAUUUCUUCUCUUCAACCAUAUUUCAGUGUCUUCUCUUUAUGGAUGAACACAAAGGUAAAAAAAUCCCUUCAACUAUUUGGUGUAUUUCUAAAGAGGCUUAAAAUUGGAUGCCAUUAUAAUACAAGAGCCAUAAAAUGAUAUAUGGUCUUUAGUGUAUCUAUUAAAAAAAUAGAACUUUAAAGUUAUAAUACAUAUUAUUAGCAAGGUUGUACAUGAAGAAAGUAUGGAGUAAGAUAAAUUUCACUUCCAUUAUUAGUGUGAUUUUUUUUUGCACUCAUGAAUGUAAAAUUAUGUUGGGCAGUAAAUACCACUAAAUUCUUCAUACUAAAAUAGUAAUGUUAAGAGAGCUAAGAACACACCCGAAAAGCAUGAACAGUAUUAAUAUGCUUUUAAUGGUUUGUGAACACCAAGUAUUUUGAUAUACCAAAAUUCAAAAAAUUAGGUCCAAAAUUAUCAGGAUUUAUAUUUGGUAAAAAGUGCACAAGUCGGAAUCCAACGCACGCUUCAUUGGUGUGCACAACACCAUAAAAUUGUGCUUUUUAAUAUAUCCUUCAAAGCAGUUUCUUUUGGGGCGUCACUCUUAGGAUUCGUGACUUUGAAGCGCUUUUAGGAUUUUGAUUGUGAAGAAGAAUCGUAGGAGUCACAGUGGUUGUGGGUUAGGGUGAGUCUUCACACGCAGACAUACCUUCACGCGAUGAGUUGUUGUGUUUUUGUUGGAGCAGGAAUUGGAGCCAUUCAGGAAGUUAUGAUCUGAAGGUGAACAUGCGUGCUUUCUUCACUAUCUUGAUGUUGUGGGAGCUAUUGUGGAGUACUAGAGCAUGAGAUGCGAGAUGAAGGGAUUCGGAGCGUAGUCAAAUUUGUCAGCCCAUCUGAUUAUGUUUGCAGCUUCAUCAGAAACAGUAGUAGGUAUUUGUGUCUGCAGAGUUCGUUUCAACCUCCACUACUUCAGUUUCACGAAGGAGAAUGCAACGUGCAUAGGUGGUGAAUUAUUCGUUACGUUUGUGGAGUUGAAUUCUACUGCUUGUGAGUCUUUAUUACAGGAGGAACGGUGUGUGAGAUGCGAAUGCGUAAUGACUUGCCAGUGCUUACCAAUGCAAACAGCUACGUUCAAACCACUGAAGUACGACAUUUGCUAUGUGAAUAUGUAAGUGUUGUGUUGUUCGAUUUCUUCUUGAAUAACUAUGGAUUCAUCUUUGGCACGCAGGAUAUGAGGAUGUAGUAAGUCUGCGGAGCUGGGUCUGGUGCGUAAGAAUGCAUCUACGACGUUUUCGAGGAAAUGAUGGGUAUCCUAGCCUUGCAGCGGAAUUUAUGAUGAUCAAGGCAUUUUCUGAGCAUCUUGACUUAACCGCGGAGCUGGUUGGACUGAGAAACAGCUUUUAAAAGGUGCGACUGAGCUUCUUAGGUCAUGCCAUCAGCAUUUUAAGGAUGUGGCAAAAUUUAUUGUACAGGAUUAGGUUAGUCAGGAUUUCGAUUGAAUGUCCCCUAGCAGCCCAGGUGCUUUGGUAAAAUGUGCUGCUUAAUCUCCACUUUCCCUUCUCCAGAAUUUUUAUUUGAAAAGGCUCAGAUCGAAGCUGUGAGCUCUGUAACAGACCAUAUUCUUGUAGAUUCGACCUUCAAAGCUAGUCCUGUAAUCCAGUCAAACUAAUUGUGAUGGACAAGAAAAUGUUGACCCGAAACAUUGGGCGGGACUCAUUCCAGAAGGCACAUGUACAGGAAGCUCAGGUCGGGCGCGUGCAAUAUUAUCAAAUCUCAAACCUGUCCUCAGCGAGAUGGUGGCAGCGGUUGUCGUACCGACAGUGACGCAAACCGGUCUGCAAGGACCCCAAUUCUAUAUUUCUGCAUUCAGCUUUUUAAAACACCGGUUCUAAUAGAAAUGCACUUACCAGUAUAGAUUUAAAAUCGGAGCGACGUGAAGAUUUAGAUCCACACCAAAACUAUUGAGAAUGAACGGCAUAUAGGUUUAGUAUAAUGCUACAGAGCUCGAGGCAUGCUGAAACUCUCGUGGUUGAUUAAAGUAUGUCCAUCGACUUGAUGUACUAUUGUGUCCGAGGGCUUUGAUCUACAGCCUCCAUUAUUACUAGUCAUGAGUGUUCUUGGAUGAUGUACCUGGGGCUGUACCAAACUGGUCAACUUGGUUUGAUCCUUUCAGGUGCAUUAGCCACUCUGUCCGCAAUCGAAUUGAAUUUUAUGGCACCACAUGGCAGUAGAACUCUUGAGAACCAGCGUUAUCCAACCAAGCUUACUCUAGCGCCUUGUGUCCUCUGGUGUGUGGGUGUGUGUGUACAUCUAUAUUUUCAUUUUCUGCAUUUCAUUUGAGGCGUUGCACAUGUUCGGAAGUGGUCGAGAAGCUUUCUAUUGUUGCCAAUGACCACGAAUGGAACUUGCAUGAGUCUUUAGAAUUCAUUAACGGAGGGGAAGAAAAGGCAGAAGUUGCAUAACCAUGUAAACUAGUCCUAAUCACAGAUUUAAAACCGAACACAAUUUUAAACUCAGAAAAAAAAAGAAAAAAGAAAUGUUGUCAAAUCUUAACACCAAUGAGGUGGUCCACUGCACUAAAAGGAUCUCAGUCGAAAACAAAAGGGGAUAAUUCGCACGAGUUAACCUCGACUUCCUUCCCGACUUUGAACUGACAAAAUGGAAAGGUGGGUUUGUGAGCGGAGUCUGAAAUCUGAAAAUGCCUUCGCAAUGCACUUGCAAAUGCCCACUACAAAGCCGCCUCGAUAAUCCAGCCUAAUCAGCAAUGGUGGACACGAAACUUUUGACCAGAAGCAAUGUACAGGAGUCUUUCGAGAAGGUGCAUGAAUUCGAGACUCACGUCGCGCAUAUCUAGCAACAUCAUUAUGAUUGUGGUUUAAAUUGUCGUCAAACCCUAGACCUGGCCAUUGACCUGGAGUUUAGUGUUGCGUCUGCUGCUGUAGGUUAGUGUCUGAUUAUCCCAUUCGUUGUUGUCAGAUUAGGGUUCCUUUGCGGUUGCCAAGUUAGCUACUUUAUGAGUGAUCUAAGAAUUUGAGAUAGUUUCAGGUACGGUGUUGGCUUGAUGAUUAGGGUGAAUGCAUGAGGCAAAAUCUAGGCCCAGAAGUGGAAAGGUAGCGGCGGGAUAAGCCAGACGAGAUUUCUAAGGAUGGAAGCUCUGGAUCUUCAUCGAUUGCACCUGAAUAUCGAGCUUCACGAUCGCCGGACAGAGGCAUGCAAACUUGAGGUUGGGAGCAUAAGAACACGUGUGCAUUCAAUCAGUGAUCUAGUCGAAGAUUAGCUCAGAACGCUCCACAUUGCAUCCGUUUAGUAAGCCUAGGGUUUGGCACCAAAUUUUGGGUGUUGAGUUGGUGCUUUCGCGGAAGCUGAUUAAAUUGGAUUCGAUUUUUAGUCUUGGCUUUUGCUUUUGCAGUACUUUCUGAUGGAAAGGAAUAACAUGGCUCGCCAAAAGUUCAGCUCUCUCGUGAUGACUGAGCUGGUCGGCGAGUCCUCUAGUGUCUCGAGGGCUCCACACUCGAUUUGCAGAGCAAUUGCAUGUUGCCGCCUCUCCAGUGCCGCCAACUUGACGAUACCCGGAAAUGGCCACAUGUACCCGGUAUGUCCAGUUUUAUUACACCUGCUCCCCAAUGUUUUGCCCUAGGUCUUCUAAAAAAUAUUAGUCUAGGCCUCAAGGCAGGUAAAAGCCUUAAAGGUCCAGAAGCAGUGGAAAAGCCCGGGAUAGUGUGAAUGAUAUUUUCUGGAGUUGCCCUAUGUCUGCCAUGUGGCAGUGCCACUUGUUCCAAGUUUUGGGCCUCUGGGAAGUUAAAGCAUGUGAGCAAAGCCUUGCUUCACUUGUGUCUUUCUGAAAAAUUUAGAUGAACAAUUCUUGUCAACAUCCGAAUUUCCGGUUUCACCUGAUCCUCUGUGAUCCAUUGCUAUCCAGUUUCGUUACUUGAGUGAGAAGGGCGGCUUGCGAGUUCCUAGAGUGAAGCUUGCAGCGUUUGCAGGAACUCUACUGGAGAAGGCUGCUCUUGCAAUUCUUUGCCUUGGCGGCGUCGAUCCUUCUCGGUGUAAGUUCAUCUCAACUCACAGGUUACCUGGAAGCUCUCAAUUUUUAUUUAUUGAUUCGGCAAUAUUUCAAAGCUCAAGUCCACUUCAUACAGUCGUGUUGCAGGCCCCUGAUCACUAUUGUGAUUAGAUUUCUUGGCCUUUGGCGGCGUUCAGUAGGAUAGUGCAGUAAGAAGCGUUUUUGAGAGUAUUCGCUACGUUACGGUUUCUCUUCAAAUCUCCAUAUGCUAAGUUUUAGAACCGGUUCUCUUCCUUUACGACACUGCACACUGUGUUCUACGGACCACUGUUCCACUUCCUUUCUUGAGGUUUUUUCGCAGGUCUAACAGUAGUUCGAAGUUGACCGCUCUCACGUUGCGACUCGGACAUUUGGGUAGCUCAAACAUGCAUGAGAUUCUUAAUAUAUGAGACGAAAUACUGCAAACGUAAUAGCACGCUAUGGUAUUGAAGCUAGUAGUUUGUUUAUACCAAACUUUUACAGUAGAUUAGUUUUCCGGAUUCUCGGACCAUAGUGGACGGUUUCCUGACCUUCCUUUCGAUUUGGGUGGCAGAAUAUUGUUGUGGUUCGAGGAGUUGUCGGAUAAAUUGCACAGCUAUUGCUGGUGAUAGUGAAAUAUGCGUAUUCGCAAGCACCAUUCGAGAGGAAACGCAGGAGAGGAUUCCUCGUCAGGUGCGAAUCCUGAUCUCGGGAGCCAAGAACAAUCUGAUUUGGUGCUGAGCUCCAGAGGGGUGAAGGAGAAGUCAGAAGAAGAGUUCCUGAACAAUGCAGAAGUGGUGAGAGAAGGAGGGUUAGAUGAAGGAAGUGGGGCAGGCCUUGUGCCUGUCGGAAUUGAAAAGGUUGACUCUACCUCUCGCUCUCAGUUCACGUGGCUGGACAGAUUGCGGCACUCCAAAGGUUUUAUCGAAUUAGAACCGUAUUCUAAUUUAGAGGAGUUUGUUAGUUUCCUGACGAAGAAGGACGAAGGCGUUGGUUCAUCAAAAAAGGAAGCUCACAGUAAGGUAAAUGAAGAAGGCUCUCAGGAUGUGAGCCGUUUAGUUGGGGGUAUAGAUUUGAAUGCACCUGAAGAGCUUGAGAGGUACAGUUCUGGCUGUUCGGACUUAAGUUCCAAACAAGCGAGAGUUGGAACCCUUAGUCCUGCCUUAAUCUCCGGAGAUGAAAGCUCAAUUUCGGCUCCACUUGCUCAAGUAAAUGAGACAUUUUGUUCCGUCAAGGAGGUCGAAAAUUUGGAGGUUUUGUUAGCGAAAAACGAAAAUCAAAAAGUAGAGAUGCAACAUUCUCGCAGAAAACCUUCAAACUAUUGGGAGCGGGCGAGCAAUACUGCAGGUUACACUGUCAACAUUGGUUUCUAUGACUCGGCCUUUGAGUUUAGUUAAUCGUAGAAUUGUAUCUUGGUUGGGAUAUCAUCUGAUGAUGUUCAUGCUUAGAAAAAGAAUCAUUUGAUGCAGGGACAAGUUCUGAAAAACCACUGCCCAGCGAAAGCAAAAGAUCUGGGAUAGUAAAGGACGUACCGUGCACUAGUAUUUCACCUCAGCCUGAGAGCGAUGAAGCUAUUUUCGAGCAGUACCAUGUUAAUCCUGAAUAUUACAAAGCUUCAGUAAGUUCAGCGCUCUUAACGUUGACAUCUCUUCUUCUGCAAAGAUUAUUUGUUUCAUUUGGUUGUUUUGUAGAGAAAGAAGACUUUUGUCCAUAUGAAAGCUGAUGCAGUGCACCGGCAUGCUUAUGGUUUGGGAGCCUAGUUUUGCCACAAAGUGCAGUAAAACAUAGUGAUCUGUAAGUUAAUUCUUUCUGGCAAGUGCGUGACUUAAUACUGGUGUAAUACAAUUACACAGUUGCGAAAUUGGAACGAUGAUGACUGCAACCUUCUGCUGCAAUGGUCAUGCAAGCAGAUAGAUAAGUCCCAAGGUGUUUAGUGGUUACUCUCCGUACCAUUAGUCUGAGGGAUGUUGCUGAAUUUUCCUCCGCUUAGCUUGUAAAAAGGCACACGGGUGAGGACGAAGCUGUGACGUGGAAGACAGCAUAUAUUAAUAUUUGGCUAGAAUGAUGUAUGCAGACAAGAGACAUGUGCCCUGGAGGAGAUGCUCUUUCUGGCUAGCCUUGCAGGAGAAAUUUGGACAUGGGAACCCUAUUCAUGCAUGACUGUCCGUUAUGCAGGAAGAACUUGCUGUUCGAGUGUAUUCUUACAACUAGCCCUGUAACUAGUGCUGCAUUUCUUUAGCUUAAACACAGAUCUGGUAAGACGUAGUCAUUUUUUUCAGCUUUAAUGCCAUUGCACGCGGCUGGACUUGGAUCAGAAUUACCCGCACACUAGCUGUUACUUCCAAAGGAGUCUACGGAUCAAGUCCCUCGUGCAGUAUGGGAUUACCUUGUUUUCUUACCCACAGUGGGUCUUGAACUGAUAAUUGUUUUUGUUCUUUAGAUUGCUGAGUAUACAGAGCUCAGACAUGGAAUUCUUCCUCCACGCGAAGAGAAUCAGGAUACGUCUACUGAAACUACUCAACGAAGGUCUUCAUCUGUUCCUUUCGUUGAAAUGUUUACCAUGAUUUUGAUUUUCUCAUGAUGAAGUAAGCCUUAAAACACUGCUAUUGGCCUAACACUUUCAUUGGAACCUUUAUCGCUCAUUGUUUUUGUUUGAAUUGUCUACCCUCCUGACCAGUAUAACCUCUCAGUUUACCACUUUCAUGAACGAAAAGUAUAUAGAUUUACUUUUGUCUGAUUUUGCGCAGAUCUAGGAGGAACAGAAGAAUUUCAUCAUUUACUGGUAGGGACAAUUCCUCGUCAGUGUACCUCUUUGUAUCAAAGUUGUCUACAGUCAACUCAAGUUUGAUCUACAAUCUAUAUCGCUGCUUUGAACCACAAUCUACUUAGGCCUUCUUUUUUUUGCCCCGAUGCUUGGGUUGAUUCUACGUUUACUUUGUUUCAAUUCGCUCAACAUGUGCUUUCAUUUCCUCUGAAAUCCUUCAUUAACCUGACGUUUCAGAGACAAUUUGCGGAUUCAUCUGAUACCAUUACAUGCUUUGAUUGUCAACCGCAUGCACAGGAUAUCUUCCACGAACCACAGCAACAAUUCUCGAAAAUCAUCCAUCUUUGUCACCAGACCACCCAUCAUUACAGAGAAGGGAGAAUAUAAUGUUUUCAGUGUAUACAGUAUGUUUGCGAGCUGGCAGGGCUGGUCUUACACCUCGGGAGAUAAUGUCUGAAAUAAGGAAGCAAGGAUUAGCUGGACUUGAGGGAGGUGCAGCUCAAUCCAGUAAGCACAUUGCGAAUCUACUGCGUAACUCCCCUUAUUACAUGGAACUUGGAGAGGGGAAGUUUGCCCUCUGCAGCUCAGUGAUAGAUGUAGAGCAGGAUAUUACUGAUCAGGGGUCACCGAUUGAGAGGGAUUCUUUGCCAAGUAGAAACUCGGAAGAAACUGAGUUUAGUACUGGAGACGAACUUCAUACUUCUACUGGUAGUGAGGACAAUGUCCCGAAAACCGGAAGAAAACGAAAGCGUGCCGUACUUGGCGCUUCCCAGCCAGAGACUGAAGUGAAGAUCAGGCCUGGAAGAAUCGGCCGUCCGAAGAAGUUGAAAUACAUCAAGCAAGAAAAUGCUGAAACUCUCGGCAACCAGUGCCACAGGAACGACGGCAAGGGCUGGGUCUGUCCCCUAUUGGCCAAACCUGGGUACCAAUUGUGUGACCAUCACCUCGACAAGCUGCGUUGCAAGCCAGGGACCAGGUCAAAGUCAAAGAAAUCUGAGAAGAUGACGGACGAGGCAGGUGUUACUCAAAUGCGUGAAGAACUACACUUGGUGGACACAGCUGGACACGAAACUGGUACUCCUUUAGAUGUUUCGACAGGCUUGGAAGGUGCCGACAACUUCUCACGUUAAUUUAAUUAGCCUAUUCCAUUCGAAGCAGCCAGGAUUUUUUUAUUUUUCAUUUACGAACACUUGGGAUUUUCAUUCUUUUUUUCUUUUUUACUUUUUUUCUUUUUUUCUUCCUCCCCUUCUACCCGUUUUCGUGCUCCAAAAAUCUCAUUAGAUUCAAUAAAAUAGUUUCCGGCACUCCUUUUCUGUGAGAUCAUUUACAUGCUUGCAUUGCUCAACAAAUUCUGCAUCCGAGUUUAUCAUGACUUGUCCACUUUCUGUUAAUAAAUGUGAACUUCUGGCAACCCGCUGAAGUGCAUUAAGAGUGGGAAACCUAACGUAAUAACAUCAAGGUGAGGAUCCAAGUCUAAUUGUGUCAGUAGAACAAUAUUUAUUGGAAAUGACCGACCAGUUACAAAGAUGGGGCUCAUCAUAAAAAUGAAGUCAUGUAUAUCAAAUUCUCAGCAGCACAAGCUAAAUGAAAUUAUUCUGGACAGAACACCUGGAACGGGAACAAAUUUUCAUAAUAUGAGAUCCAAAGUUACCAACACUCGGUACUCUGAUGCAAAAGGUCACUCCGUAACGCUUACUGUGAUACAACCCGACAUUAAUAAUGUCUUCAAUUUUCUUUAUGUGCCGAUAAAUGUAUGUACAAAAAAACUAUCAUGUUUUGACCUGGCCUAUCAUGAAGAGAAUCACAAUUUGCAGACGCUGCAUUGGCAUUUGCAGAAAAUGCCUGGCUUGUCGGUAGACGCACUAAAAUUCCACCAUAUUUCUGGAAGUGGUCCACUGCAGGCAUGGUCCGCAUCAGCUUCCAUUCAACGGACACAAGCAUCAGCUAAAAAUGAGAGCAAGAAAGUUUGAUUUGCUGCUUUUAUCAAGUAUCCCCAACUAAUCAUCUGCAACUGAUGCACCCCUUACAAGCAGGUCUUAUAAUGCAGGCUAGUUCAUAUAAAGCGGCACCCUUUUCCUUUUAUUUAUUUCAAUCAGCAUUCACGAGCAUCAUUCCCAGAAGAAGGACCUAAUCAGUGGCACUGAACUUGAGGGUGGUUGAUUUGAUUUGCUAUGCACUUCGAUUCAACUCUACCAGCUAAAUACUAUUCAAUACAAGGGAGAGUCUCAUUCGAAUAAUUUCGUGUCUUAUUCAUGUCAAACCUCAGGUUAAAAAUCGUCUUAUUUCACCCUUCUUGUAUGCAACAUAUUUUGGAGUUUUGGCAAUAACCCCUCGUGGAACACAUGCGCCAUAUAUAGAUCCUACUGAUCAACAGAGGUACUGUAGCAACAAGUACAAAGGAAUCAAUGGAAGAUAAAGUUGAAUGAAUGGAGUGCGGAUAAACCAACUCUCUCUUCCAAGUUCGGCGUCACGCCAUUUGGCCUCUCUGCUUUUCCACAGCAAAAGUGCCGUCUUUUUGCCACGUCACCCACAUACACAUCUAUCACACCACAAAUUUACCGUCACAAUAUAAUUUAAGGAAUAGAAUAAUAUACAAGAUUUUUGUUUGUUAACUAUUUGUAACUUUCUACAAAAAUAGGUUGUUUGUAUGCAAAUGGUGGGCAAGGUUUGUAAUGGCUAAGUGGUGAUUAAGAAUAUAAUGGUUGUUAGGAUAAAUAAUGUCUGGAAUUAUCUCAAAAGAUAUAUUGGUUUUAAUAUUUUUUUUUGUAGCCAAGGCUGUAAUAUUAUAAUUCAAAAAUUUGUAUUUUUGUUUUAUAUAGUAUUUUUUUAAAUGUAUGUUUGUAAUUUUUUAAAACUAUGUAUAUAUGUAGUAAUAAUUUCAUCUUCUCUGAUGAGUGCUCAUAAAAAGAAGUUUAGUAUAAUAAUUCAUUAUGAAGCAUUUCUGAUUCUCUCAAGAGUUUAAAAAGAUAAUGCUAGAUAUGUAUUGAUUUUAUAAUAAAGUUGAGCAAGUUAGACUGUUAAAAAAAAGUCUUCAAAGCUGAUACAUUUGCAUUAAGUUCUUAUUUGAGGUAAAUUAAUUACAUUGAAGUUAUUUGAUAGUUUAAGAAAUAAUCAUAAUAAUUUAUAAAGUACAAAGUUAUUUGAGAAUCUAAAAACAUUACUUUAUAAAUUAUUAUGAUUAUUUCUUUGUCAGAAAAAAAAUUGGUCUUAUUAAAAUGUGUAUAUAUAUAUAUAUAUAUAUAUAUAUAUAAUUAUUGACUAAAUAGAAUUAAAACUUUAGUCAUCAAAAUAGCUAUUAAUAAGAAAAUAUGUAAAGUUUGAAAUUUUUAUAAAUAGUUUUUUUUAUCUUUUAAAAACUAAUUGCUAAAAUAUUUUUGCUUUGAUUUUUUAAAAAAAUAUUAUAAAGGACAUAGAAGAAAAACAAUCAUAUGAUAUAAAAUCUAAAAUAAUAAAUAAAUAAAUAAAUAAAAUACUAAUAAUAUAUGAAGAAGAAAGUUUGAAUUAAUAAUAUAGGUUAAUACAAUAAUUAUUGCAAUACUUCUUAGAAAAGAUCAGCAUAAUAUACUAAUUAUGUUACCUUUUAUCAAAUGACAAUCCACAAUACUAACUUAAUAAUGUUGACACAACUUAUUACAAAGAAGAUCCAAGGACUAUGCAAAAGUAUAAUAAGAUAAUUAGAUAUGUGAGACUUAUUACUAAACAACACAAUAACAAAACAAGAUUAGAAGGUUCAAAACUAAACCACAAGUCAUAUAUUGUUAUGACUAAGAAGCCCCUCAACCUCAACACUUGUAUGUACUAGGAUUCAAAAAGCUUCUAAAUAACUUCUUAUAGAAGGCUUUGAUCCCCAAGUCAUCCUAGGAUGCUUCUUAAGCAAUUUUCUUCUUACUUCAUUAUGAAGCAACCUCAAGAACAUUCUUUUGUAAUUUCUUAUAUUGCUUGGGAGUUAAGCAACUUUAUGAACAUCCUCUAGAACUUUCUAGAAUCUUCUAAGAUUUUUUAAGAUCUUUUAGAAACUUCUAGAGUGUCAUAGAAUUUCAUAGAGCCUUUGAAAAUCUUCUAAAACCUUUGAGAAUUUGCUUGAAUCUUCUUUAGAUGAAUAGUUGUGAUUCAAUUGAGGUAAAUAAAAUAAAAAUGAAACCAUUAUCAUGAAUAGUUACAUUCCAAUCAUUGAUAUAAGCCAAAUGGCAUACAAGAUUACUUUGAUUAAAACAUAGAAAAGAAAAGUAGGAUAGAAAAGAAAAUGUAGAGACUAAAGAUUAUAUAAGUUUAUUAUAAUGAAAUCUUAAUUUAAUAAAAUAAUAAGAACAACAAAAGAAAGAGCCAUUUAAAUUUGAUCUUGUUGUAUACUUAUAUCACUUCUAUUUAAUUAUAUUAGCUAUUUAUAUUUUUUUAGCAACUAUUUAUUUUCUUAUUCUAAUAUAAUCUAAUCUAUAUACUUAAUUCUUAAGUAAGUUGGAUAUUUCUAACUUAUCUUGUUUUAGAAUUCACAUCUUAAUUUUCAUAGAUUGUUUGGUUUCUAGAUAAGUCAAGUAUUUUUUACUUAUGUUAGAUUCUUCUAUUUUAUUAUCUUAACUUUAGAUGGUUUGGAUAUUUCAAAGCUGCCUUGGAACCUAUUAGUCUAGGUUUUUUUCUAAUAUUUAGAUCCUAAUGGUUUAGAUCUACUUCUAGAUUUUUUUAGGCUUGCUAACAAUCACUAAAUUAAUUUGAUAACUCUUUUUUUAAUAAAAAAAUAAUUACUUAAAAAUACACUAAAUAUUUGAUUGAAAAAACUUUAUCCUAUUCAAAUCACAAUUAUCAUCCAUAAUUUGAUAAUUUUAUAUUUUAUAAUUGAUAAUUUAAUAAAAAAAUUAUGUAUUAAAUAAAAUAUUAAAAAUUUAUAUAAUAAUGAAGAUAUAGCUAAAGAUAUAGCUAAAAUCCAUAUUAUUCUUUUUAAUAAAAUCCAAGAAAAACAAAUAUAUAAUAUGGAUUUUAUUAAAAAGAACAAUCUCCAUCAAAGUUGAUACUGAAAUAUGAUUAUUUCAUGCUUUGUUUCAAAGAAUUUUUUAAGUAGAUUUUCACUAAUUUUUCAAAAAGCUACACAAAUUUAUUAAUUAAGACUAUGCCUUAAGAAGUUUUAGUAAAUGAAGAGAUUUUCUAAAAAAAAUUUAAAAAAAAAAUUGAAAUAAAAUUAUUACUUAUCAUGUCCAUCAUUAUCCAUGACAUUUUACUAUUUGUAUUCUAUCAAAUACAUCUAAUCUUGUAUGUUAAAAUUUAGAUUAGUAUCUAGAUUUUGUGGCUCUAAAGGAUGUCAUGAAGAUCAUAAGUUAUCACACAUUUCAAAAUCAUCCAUAUUUUCUAAAAACCUCUUCAUUAUAAGAGAAGAUUAAGGAAGGAAUUUAGCUUGUACCUUCCAUAAUAGAAGAUAAGUCAUAUCCUAUCUUUGCAUGAAAAAAAUUUGAAUAUUUAUUUUUUUGGUAUAAUUUGUAGAUGUUCUACAAGUAGUACUAGCUACUAGUUUUGUUCAAUUGAAUGAAACUAUUAUUGCUUCAUCAUAAGACCAAACCUCAAAAGUUUUAUAUCAUAAGCUAUUAACAUAUAUUCGCUUUGAUGCUACAAGACUUAUAAUUAUAUCAAUUCAUAUAAUAGCUUCUUAAAAUUAGUGAAAGUCAAUCUCAUCUUUUUUUAUAGCACUAAGAUUGCUUUGAUUCUAUUUUUGAUUGAAAUAUAUGGAUACCGUCUUCUAAAGCAUAUGGGUCUAAAUUUUUUUUCUUUAAAUUAGACUUUGAUAAUACUACAAUUAAAAAGAAAGAUCAACUAAAUUUUGUUUAGAAUGAUAUAAGUCUCAAAUAAUACAAUAUAGUAUGGUAUUUGAACUUACAUUCCAAAAUCAAAAGAAACCAAAGUAAGUUUAUAUAGAGCUUUUUUAACUUAUAAGAAUAGAAGAUAAAAAUAAAUAAAUAAAAAAAUAAAAAUUAAUUAUAAUUCUUAUACAUAUCAAUUAAUUAGAAAAAAAAAAAAAAAAAAAAAAAAAAAAAAAAAAAAAAAAACUUUACCAUGCCAUAUAUAAUCAUUCACAAGUUCAUAAGAUUAAUACUUGUUGUGAGACUGAAAUAGAAGAACCAAAUUAUUUUGUACUAAAAAAAGAUUAAAUUAUUUAUUAGCACUCAAAUCAAGUCUUACUCUUAUCUAAGAGCUUCACAAGGAAAUUUUAAAAGAACUCAAAAAUAAAUUAGACUUGGUUUAUUUUGAGUUCAAAACUUCUAAUUGAAUGGAAGUAACUCAUCUCAAUAAUUGCAUUACUACCAUAAUAAGCACAUAUUAAGGAAGUAAACUUCAAAGAAUUAAAAUGUCAUUAUAUUCUUGUGGCAUUCAAAAAAACUAGAAAAUCAUUCAAAGAUGAUAUAAUAUUAAACUAGAAUAGCUAUUGCCAAAGACAAGAAGACUAAAAAAUCUUGAAAAAAGACUAAAGAUUAGAAAGGCAUUGACAAGAGUGAAGAAGGCUUCACUCUUACCUCCAUAUAUACUCAAAACUAAGAGAUGCAUGGCAAUAUCUUAUAGGACCUCCAAAACUUGUUGACUUUGUAAGACAUGUAUCUUAACUUAUAAGACAAGUUUUCUAUAUACAUGCCAUAUAGUUAGCUUAUUCUAUAAGCUUUAAACACAAGAUUAACUUAUUCACUAAGUUUCUAUCCUACCAAUCAACUACAAACACAUAUAAAAUCAAAAUAGCAUCUAUGAAGCUUCUAAGAAGCUUUUUUAGAAAAUAUUAUGAAAUAAAUAUAUUUUUAUUUAUUUCUACUUCAUCAAAUAGGUAAAUAUGAUAGUAAAUAUGUAUGUCCAUGAUAUUAUCCUCUCUUUUAAGACCAAGUUCCUUGAAGAGCAAUCAUCAUAUGUUGAAAAAAUCUAAGAUAGAGCAAAUUGUGUUUGCUACAUACUGUGAUCUUUAUUCUCUUUAAAGAUGGUUCAUAGAUCAUUUUAGACAUUAAUAGUAUCCUAUAUCAAGGUAAGAAGAAACCCAUGUUGUUUAAUUUUUAUUGAGAUAUUUGUAAUUUCUUUCAAAUAAAAUAUUUAAAAUACAAUCAAGAGUGGUUUUAACAUCUAAUAAAAUCACCAAAUAUUGAGAGUCUCUUUUAAGAUCAUGAUACCAAAUACAUUGUAUCUUUCUAUCUAUUUCAAGAAGAUCAUAUCAUUUAUCUUGAUUACAUCAUCUUAAAGGUUGUCAAAAUUACAAUACUUUAUUUGAUAAGUCAACAAGUAAUAGCUCUUGAGUUGAAUUUGUUGAUUGUUGAUUCUUCAUCUUUUUAGCAUCACAAAUGAACAAAAGUACCAAACAAGAAUACAAGAUAGAACAAUAUCUUUCUUAGAUCUUAUUACUUUUAUAGCAAAGAUUUGCUAUUCUUUAUCUUGGUUUUGAUAGAUGUCGUCUACAAAAAAUCUCAACUUUCUUUAUUAUAUUUAUAAGAUUCUUUAUUGGCUUUAAUGUGUAUUCACCAAAAUCAUAUCUGUAUCAAUGAAUAAGAUAUUCUAACUUAUUUUGGCCCUACUUUGAAUUCUUAAUUAUUAUCCAUUUCUAGAAGAAGAGGUAGCAUUUGUCUUUUUUUCAAGAUAUUUAUUAUUUCAUAUGGCUCAAAAAGAGAUUCAUGGAAUAUAUGAUGUAUCUUCAUAGAUUUUGAUAGAUAUAAUCAAUAAGCAACAAGAUUGACUUGUUCACUAAUAGAAAAAUAUCCAAGCCUAUAAUAGUCCAAUUUAUUACAAAAAUAAGUAGUUUUGAUAUUGCAACAAAAUAGCCAUACCUUAUCACCUACAUUGAAUUAAGGUUGUUCCUUGCCAUAGGCAUCUACAUUGAACUUUUAUUGUUCAUAAGCUUCUUUUAAUUGUACCUAUAUUAUUGCAUAUAGUUCUAACAAAUGAUUUGUCAAAUCUUUUGCUACAGGAUUAUCAACUUAUGAAAAGUCAAAAUUAUCAAGUUCUAGAUGAUAAUCAUAAUUGAAAACAUAUAUAUAUUUGUUGAGUAGAAGAAUGUAUCAAAUUAUUGUAUGUUAACUAUGUUGAUAGCAAAAAAAUUGUCUAAUUAUCUUGAUGAUAAUUAAUGAUAUACUUCAAAAUAUUACUCCAAAAUUUGAUUCAUAUAUUUUAUUUGUCCAUCAAUUUGAGGAUAAAAAACCAAAAAGAGUUCUAUAUCCACCUUUAGAAUCUUACAAAGAAUUUUCUUAAAUCUUGAUACAAAUUGAGUUUUUCUAUCCAAUAUAAUAUCCUUGAAUAAUCCAUGAUAGCGAUAAAUGUUGUCAAAAAAAAGCUUAGCUAUUUUUUUUACUUGUAAUAGAUUUUAUACAUGGUACAAAAUAUGUCAUCUUAGUAAAAUGAUCUCCUAUAACAAAUAUAGAAUCAUACUAGCUUGAGAAUGAAAGAUCCAUGAUAAAAUCUAUAAAAACAAAAGAUCAUGAUUGUUGUCACGGACACAAAAUACAGACUUGAAAUCUAACAAGAAGUUCAAGAAGAAGUGGCAGAACUACAUUAAACAGAUGAGUACAAGAACAACACCAAAAAGGUGAGCUAGAACUCCAAGAGAUGUGUUGUCAAGAUUGAAGAACUCUUCAGCCUCGAUCCCUAUAUAUACUCCUACUUAGGAAGCUUCUCGAGCUACUUCUAUUAAGUAGGAAGCUUCUAGAAGGUUCCAGAGGCUUCCUUUCUAGAAGGUUCUAAAAACUUCUCAAGCUACUUCUAUUAACUAGGAAGCUUCUAGAAAGUUCCAAGGGAUUCCUUUCUAGAAGCUUCUAAAAACUUCUCUUCUAGAAGGUUCCAGAGACUUCCUUUCUAGAAGCUUAUAGAAACUUCUCUCUAAAAGGUUCCAGAGGCUUCUCUUCUAGAAGGUUCCAGAGGCUUGUUUUCUAGAAGGUUUUAGAAACUUCUUUCUAAAAAGUUCUAAGGAAUAUGUCCCUAACAUCACCCCCUCUUUUAGCUUCGAGGUCUCUGAGAAGCAAUGUUGUUGAUCAGUACCAACGCAAGAAAAUGAAGAUCUGUCGCAUAACUUCUACUAUGAACUCCAACUGUUCUUCACGAGGCAAGUGGUUCAUCGAUCCUUGAAGCCAAUGGUAGUGGCCCAUGCCUUCGACUUCUGACCAAGCAUGAACUUCCGUGUCUUCAUUGUGAAAUUUUCUUGCAAACACGCCUUCUGGUUGACCAUCGUAAGCAGGCUCGAUCUCAAAUACGAUCACCAGUGAUCGAUUACUCGGUAUCCUCCGUUGUCGUCGUGGUACAUGUGGUUCUUUAUCUCGGGGUCGCCUUUGUGAGCUACUCGGUUGCGAUACUCUGACUGACAUAGUAUCUAUCUCUUGGCUAUCCAUAUCAAAAGACCAAACUACAAUCUAUCUUGGAAAAAAUAACUACAUCAACUAUGAAUUUUGCUCGUGCUCUCUCCUUUUCUUAUAUUGUUGGGAGAACAAGCUUCAGAAAGAAGCUAUCAUCAAAUUGAUUUAGGUUUAUCGGGAUGUCGUUGAUGAAACUCCUGUAUCUUUUGUGACGCAUUCGCAAGAUUUUCAGCUGGCUCCCACGUUCGCUCAUUAAUGUCAUAGCCGCACCAAUGAACAAGAUAUUCUAACUUUCCCCACCUUCGUCGUGAAUCCAAUACCUUUUCAAUCUCAUAUUCUUCGUGGUUCUCGAUUUCAAUAAUAGGUGGCGGACAUUGCACUCUUCCAGGAAAAGAUGACUCUCGAUAAGGUUCCAACAGAGAAACAUGAAAGACUGGAUGUACCUUCAUAGAAGCCGGUAACUCCAGCCGGUAUGCCACUAGAUUAAUUUGCUUCUGGAUGAUAAAUGGUCCCAAUCUUCGAUAGUCCAACUUAUCACAUGGUCGCUUGGUCUUGAUAUUUCGUCGAAGAAGUCAGGCUUUGUCUCCAACUUUGAAAGUAGGUGCUGGAUUCCGAAAUCUAUCUGCAGACGUCUUAUAGGAUUCUUGAGCAGAUUGUAAUUGAAGCUUCAACAUAGUUUGAAGCUCUAAUAGUUGCUUCGCAAAUCCUUCAGCUGCUGGAUUGUUAUUUGUUGACGGACUCAAUAAAUCAAGCUUUGGAUGAUACCCAUAGUUGGAAAAGAAUGGUGUUUGUUGACUCGACGCAUGGAGGGUGUUGUUAUAUGCAAACUCGGCUAGUGGUAGAUAUGCAGUCCAAUCGUCUUGCUGAUAGUUGAUGCUGCAUCGUAAGUACUGCUCCAAGUCUUGAUUCACCCGUUCCGUUUGGCCAUUAGUUUGAGGAUGAAAAGCUGAAGAAAGCUUGAUAUCCACCUUCAAUAUCCCAAAGAGAGAUCUCCAAAACUUUGACACGAACUGGGUACCUCGAUCUGAUAUGAUAUCAUCUGGUAGUCCAUGAUAUCGAUACACAUUAUCGAGAAAGAGUCUUGCUGUGACUUCACUGGAUGAUGUCUUCUUACAAGGAACAAAGUGUGCCAUCUUCGUAAGCCGAUCUACCACGACAAAGAUGCUGUCAAAUAAGUUUGAUGAUGGCAAGUCCGUGAUGAAGUCCAUAGAAAUUGAAGAUCAUGGUCGACGUGGAAUUGGCAAUGGCUGUAGAAGUCCAUAAGGGCGAUGCCGAGGAUUCUUAGAUCUUGAACAGAUGUCACAAGAGAGGACAAAAUCUUUCACAUCCUUCUACAUUUGGGGCCACCAAAAAUCUCGGGAAAUAAGCUCCAAGGUCUUGUUGAAUCCAAAAUGUCCCGCAGCUGGAAAAUCAUGGCGAGAUUGAAGAACUUGGAGUCGUGCUAGUCUUUUUGGAAUGUACAAUCGCUCUUCAAAGUAUAAAAGAUCUCCCUCCACCUUGAACUUGUCGUCAUUGGUACGUUGCUUGAUAUCAAUGGCUACUGAAUCUUUAAUGGUCAUAGCACGUACUUGGUUUAGGAAGUCAACAUUAAAUGAUACAGUAGUAGCACAAAGUUUAAAUCUCUCUGGCUUCAAUAACGUUGUACAUUGUUGAUCAAACGCUACUUCUCCAGCCUUUGGUGCAAGAUACGAUCUCCUUGAUAAAGCAUCGGAUAGUCCUUGCUGCCUUCCAGGUCGAUAAGUGAUAACAAAAUCGAAUCUAGAUAGCGACAUAUUCCACCGAGCUUGACGCCGAUUUAAAACUCGAGCCGUCAUGAAAUACUCCAAAUUCUUGUGAUCCGUAUAUACGGUUACUGGAUGUGCAGCUCCUUCAAGAAAGUGACGCCAUUCUUCGAAAGAAUCCACUAUAGCAAGAAGUUCCUUAUCGUGGAUCUCAUAAUUGAUUUCAGCAACAGAGAACUUCCGAGAAUAGAAUGCAACUGGAUGGAGCUUCUUAUCUUCACUCAUUUGUGAAAGCACAGCUUCCAAAGCAAAAUCUGAAGCAUGAGUUUCUAAAUAGAAGGCCUUUGUAAAGUCUGAAUGUACCAAAAUUGGAGCUGUAGUAAAUGUUGACUUCAAAUCUUGAAAUGCCUUCUCCGCCAAAGGUCCCCAUUCCAACUUAUCCUUGCAUGUUAAUUGAGUGAGAGGAGCAGCAACUUGAGAAUAAUUCUUGAUGAAGAUCCGAUAGAAGUUAGCAAAACCAAGAAAGCAUUGUACGUCUCUAACCGUCUUCGGAACCUCCCAAAACAUGAUUGCUUCUACUUUCUUGGGGUCCAUCUUCAAACCUUCUGUAGUCGCAAUGAAUCCCAAAAAUUCCAUCUCCGUCUGGUGAAAUAAACACUUUUCUAAUUUGGCAUAUAGUCCUCGCUUGCAUAGUUUCUCCAAGACCAAACGAACAUGCUCCUCAUGCUCUUCCUCGUUUUUAGAGAAUAUUAGAAUAUCAUCCAAGUAGAUGACAACAAAAUCGUUGAGGUGUUCUCGAAAGAUGUCAUUCAUCAUAUGUUGGAAAACUGCUAAAGCAUUGGUAAGACCAAAAGGCAUGACAUUAUAUUCGAAAUGACCAUACCUUGUACGGAAUGCUGUCUUCCACUCAUCUCCUUCCUUGAUUCGUACGAGAUUAUAAGCUCCCCUUAGAUCAAUUUUUGUAAAAAUCUUCGCACGUCCAAGUUGUUCUAAGAGACUAGAAAUCAAGGGUAAUGGGUAACGAUUUUUCUUUGUUACCUUGUUGAGGCCUCGAUAGUCCACACACAUCCGUAAUGAUCCAUCUUUCUUCUUCACAUAUAAGAUGGGUGCUCCAGCUAAUGAUUUUGAAUGAUGAAUGAAGUUCUUGGCUAGAUUCUCAUCGAUGUACUUUCGUAACUCUGCCAACUCCGUUUGCGAUAGAUUGUAGAUUGGGCCAAAAGGUGGUUGUGCUCCUUCUUGCAAGUCUAUGGCACAAUCAUAUGGUCGGUGUUCUGGUAGUAUGUCGGUGUUCUUCUUUUCAAACACGUCUUCAAAAUCUUUAUAUUGCUCCAGUAUACUUGCUGUUGAGAUCUUCUCCUCGGUAGUUGGAGUUGCAUAAAUGACAAAUGGAGUGCCUUCCUUAGAUGAUCUUAUAAACGCUCUUGCUCUAAUGAAUAAGGAUUUCUUUUUUCGAGGUUUUUUACUAGGUUUUUUCUUGGGUGGUUUUGUGAGAAAAGUCAUCUUCCGCAACCUCCAAUCUAUCAAUGGAUUAUGUUUUUCUAACCAAGAAAGACCAAGAAUAAUAGGAUUUGAUGGGGUUCUAAUAAUAUUAAAAAUAAUAUGACUACUAUGGUCUUUAAACGUUACUUCUAUAGGUUUUGAUUCAUGGGUGAUGCUACCAGACAAUAAAGGUCGCCCAUCUAUGACCUCAACAUGAACAGGUUUUGAUUUUUGUACUAAAGGGAUCUUAUGACGCUUUGCAAAUUCUUCGUCUAAAAAACAAGCAGAUACUCCUGAGUCUAGUAGUGCUAAGGUUCUCAGCUUUUGAGGGUCGAUAAACAGAGAGAUUGUAAAACAAAGUACAGGUUGGGCAGAAAGAAAGGAACCUGAUUGUUGUUGGGAUAUUUCAUUGUCCAGCCGCACGGUUCCUACUGUGGCUGGGCAUCCUCGUUUUCCUGAACAAAUACUCCCCUAGUCUUGACUAUGCCUCGAUUUUGCUUUUUGGGGCAAUUUCCGACUUUGUGGCCUUCUCCACCACAAUACAAGCAUAAAUUUUCCUCCAUACGUCACUUUUUUUCUUCUAUAGUAAGAGAUUUGAUACGUACCGCAUCAAUUUGCAUGUCUUCCACCUCUGAAUGCAAAUUCACACCGCUUGCCGACAUAGUUGGAGCAUGGCGAAUUGUAUGUUGUCUUGAGCGUUGAUCUUGGCGACGUUGGAAUAGGCGAUUAUCGCACUUCACAGCUUGGCUAAUGGCUUCAUUGAGCAUUCGUGGAUCAAGAAGAGUUAACAGCAAAUCCUUCACAUCAUCUCUUAAACCCCAAUAGAAUUGACUCAUCAACGCUUCUUCAUCCCAAUUGAUGUCGCAUACUAAUUGCCUGAAAUCCGAAGCAUAGACUGAUGUAGAACGCAUCCCUUGUCGUAGCGACCGGAUCUUUGUUGUAGCCCAUCGAACCUUAUCGUGUUCACCAAAUGCUUCCGCAAAUGCUUCCAAAAAGGUUUCGAAGUUGUUUAAUAUGGAUGAUCGUUUCUCAAACAAAGGAACAAACCAUGAUAGAGCUUGUCCCGUAAGUAAGGUUCCAACAAGUCCAACACGUGACUCCUCCGUUGGAUAUCGUUCGGGCUGUAAAACUGUUAUCAACCUAAUUUGAUUGACAAAUCCUCGAAACUUAGAAUGUGUUCCAUCAAACUUAUCUGGAAGGCUAACUCGAGGCUCCUUAUGUUGUAGAACUAGUGGUUCUUGUCGAACCUGAGGUAAAGUUGUUUCUCCAAGUGCCGAAAUUUGAGGCUGGUGUAGUUUAGAUUGUGCUAUCUCAGAUACUCCAUCAUUAUGAAGCCUUGCCACCACUCCUUCAAUCUCUGCAGUUCUUUGUGAUAACGUAGCGAGGGCAUUCAUAAUAGCAUCUAACUUAGACUCCGAACUUUCUGUCAUACUAAUGUCUUGACCUCCGGCCAUUCUAAAAGAAGGACAAAAAUGACUCUAUAAGAGGCAAUAUUGGUUUAUAGGAGGGUAAUCCACAACCUAUAAAAUGCUUUAAGAAUUUCAAGAAGAGGGGUAAUCCACUCUCUCCAAGAAAAAUAAGACUCCAAUAUUGUAACAGAAGAAGUAUCAGUUUAGAGGAAGGUAAUCCGCAACCUCUAAAAAAUGCUAGUAUACCUUCAAGUAGAGGGGUAAUCCACACUCUACUAAGAAAGAACUAGCUCUGAUAUCUCAAGUUAGUGGAGUCUCGACAAACUGUCACGGACACAAAAUACAGACUUGAAAUCUAACAAGAAGUUCAAGAAGAAGUGGCAGAACUAGAUUAAACAUAUGAGUACAAGAACAACACCAGAAAGGUGAGCUAGAACUCCAAGAGAUGUGUUGUUGAGACUGAAGAACUCUUCAGCCUCGAUCCCUAUAUAUACUCCUACUUAGGAAGCUUCUCGAGCUACUUCUAUUAACUAAAAAGCUUCUAGAAAGUUCCAGGGGAUUCCUUUCUAGAAGCUUCUAGAAACUUCUUUUCUAGAAGAUUCCAGAGACUUCCUUUCUAGAAGCUUCUAGAAACUUCUCUCUAAAAGGUUCCAUAGGCUUCUCUUCUAGAAGGUUCCAGAGGCUUGUAUUCUAGAAGGUUCUAGAAACUUCUCUCUAGAAAGUUCUAAGGAAUAUGUCCCUAACAAUUGUUCCACAAUAGGUAAUGGCAAAAAAAAUCCAUAAGAUUGAUGAUGAGGAAUUUAGGAUCUUAAACAAAUAUCACAUAAUUAUAAAAAGUCUUUGAUUGCCUUUUAUAUUUGUAGCAACUAAAAAAUCUCUAGAUAUUAGCUCCAAAGUCUUGUUGUAUCUAAAAUUUUCAACUAUUGAAAAGUCAUGACAAGCUUAAAGAACACAUAAUUGUGUUUUAUUUCUUAGAAUGUAUAAUCAUCCUUCAAAGUAGAGUAGAUUAUUUUUAAACUUCAACUUAGAAGUAUUAUGAGACUUAAAAGAAUCAUUCUUUAUAUCAUAAACAAACAGAUGAAAAGAUAUACUUGAUUGAAUUUAUUUGAUAAAGAUUAAAUCAACAAUCAAUAUUGAUUUUAUUACUUGAAGAUGAAAAUACUUUAGCUUCAAGAGAAUUUUUCUUUAUUGAUUAAAAGAUGUAUCUCCUUCUUUUGAUAUAACAUAAGAAUGUCUAAAAAAGACAUCUAAUAAACUUUAUUAUUUUUCAAGUCUAUAAGUGAUCUUGAAAUCAAAUAUUCAUAAAGACAUACUCCAAUAGGCUUAACAAUGAUUUAAAAUACUUGUCAAUAUGAAAUACUCAAGAUUCUUGUAAUCUAUAUAUAUAAUGACUCGAUUCAAGGUGCCUUUUAGAUAAUGAUGUUAUUCUUGAAAUGAAUCCAUAAUUGUAAAAAGUUCUUUGUGAUGGAUCUUGUAAUUAAUCUCAACCAUUGAAAAUCCCUUAGAAUAAAAAAAAAAUUAGAUGAAGCUUAUUAUUUGCUGUCAUUUGUGAUAAAAAGUAUCCAUAGAAAAAUCCAAUGUACUUGUUUCUAUAAAGAAUGUCUUAAAAAAAUUGACACAAUAUAAAAUUUUUGCAAAAAUAAAUAUUAUCUUCAAGGCUUCAAAAGAUGUUUUUUGCUUCUUUGCUCUACUUAAGUUUGUCUUUACAUGUUAGACAUGUAAGAAGAGCUGCAACUUGAGAAAAUUUCUUAAUAAAGAUUUAAUAACAAUUGAUAAAUUCUAAAAAUUAUUAUACAUCUUUGUCUAUUAUUGGGACCUUUAAAUCCAUAAUAGUCUAGAUCUUCUUAUGAUCCAUCAUUAAUCCAUUGUUAGAAAUGAUGUACCUUAAAAAAUCAACUUAAAUAGUGUGGAAUACACUUUUUUUUUAUCUUUGUGUAUAAUCUUGUAUCUCUGAGUUUUUGUAACACAUGAUAAACAUGAAAUUUAUAUUCCUUUGUGAUAUUAAAAUAGAUUAGAAUGUCGUCUAAAUAAAAAUUAAUAAAUCAUCAAGAAACUCAUAAAAGACAUCAUUCAUGAGAUGUUGAAAAGCAACUGGUGCAUUUGUGAGUCUAAAAGGGAUGUCAUUAUAUUUGAAAUAUCUAUACCUAAUUUAAAAAGUAAUCUUUCACUCAUCUCUCUCUUUAAUGUAGACUUGAUUGUAUAUUCCUUGUAGAUCUAUUUUUUUAUAUAUCUUUUCUUAAUUGAAUUACUUAAGAAGUCUUGAAAUCAAAAGUAGGAGAUACCUAUUUUUAUAGUGAUCUUAUUAAAUCUUCAAUAAUCUAUGCAUAUCCGUAGAAAUCUAUCUUUUUUUUCACAAAUAAAUUAAGAGUUCAUGUUGGAUAUUUGAAAUAUUAUACAAAUCUUUUAGCCAAAUUCUCAUCAAUGUAUUUAUUUAGUGCAACCAACUUAUUUUGUGAUAAGUUGUAGAUCACUCCAAAUGGUGGUUGAGUUUCUUUUUAUAGAUCAAUUGUAUAAUCAUAGGAUCAAUACUCUAAAAAAAUAUCUAUCUUCUUCUUUUUUAAAAUAGCUAAGAAAUCUUGAUAUUGGCUAAGAAUACUAGUGGAUAUCUUUUCACUAUCAAAAAUGGAUGUGGCAUAUAUAGCAAAAGAUGGCCCUGCUUUUGCUACAUGCAUGAAAGCUCUUCCACCUAUUAGUAAGCAUUUGGAUGUACCAGGCUUAUCUAUUUCUACUUCACUAUCAAAAUUUUGAAUUAAAUUAUAAAAAAAACUAAAUUUAUAAGAAAUCUUAUCUUUUUGAUGAUUACAUUUUAUUAAUUAUAUUAAUCAUAAAAUAAUUAGAUUGAAAGAAGAUCUUAUGAUAUUAAAUAUUAUUAUAUUAUUAUAAUCUCUAAUUGCUACAUCUAAAAGAAAAAUCUCAUGAGUAAUUUUUUUAGAAGAAAAUAAAUAAUCAUAUAUUAUUUCAACAUGUAUAAGUUUAGUUUUCUUAAUUAAAGAUAUUUCUUGUUUUUUGACAAAGUCUUUGUUUAUGAAACAAGAUAAGGCUCUUGAAUCUAAUAAUGUAAAGAAUUUGUGAUUUUUAGGUCCUAAACAUAUUUCUAUUGUAAAAUAAGGUGAAGGAUUUGAAGAAAGAAUAAAACCUUUAUUAGGUGUUGUACGUGAUUCCAGCCAUAUGGUCCCUAUUAUAGCUAAAAAAACUCAUUUUUUAAUAGAUUAUCUUUUUUGGCAAUUGUGCUCUUCAUUUUGUGAUUGCAUUGCUUCUUUAGAUAAUGUUGAGCAAUGUACUUAGCUUUUCCAUAAUAUAAGCUUUAAUCUUCUUAACAACAUCAAAAAAAUUCUUGCUUCAUGAGGGUUUUAAAACAUAUUAUAUCAAUUUGCAUUGAUUUCAACCUUGAUGAAUAAGUUUCUAAAAACUUGAGAACAACCAUCAUUAUUUGACUUGUUCCUCUCCAACUAAGUCUUUAUUCUUAAUGCUUCUCAGAUUAUAGAUUAUUAUAUGUAAUGGCUUGAGUAAUAAAUUAUUCAAAGGAUUUUGUCUUUGGCAUUUUUAAUAAAAAAUUUAUAAUAUUAUUCUUUAACGUAUAUCAAAAUUUAUUAAUAAGGACUUUAUCAUUCUAAUUUACAUGACAAGUGACUGAUUAUGAUCUUUAUUGUAAAGAUAAGAACUUAGUCUCUACUACUCUUUUUUAAUAACUUUCUUUGAAUAUAGCCAUAAAUAUAUCUAAAAAUGAAUUUAAAUAAUAAAAGAAUUAAAAAUCCUUUUCCAUUAAAGAUACAAAGUAAGUGAAAGGACUUCUAGAUACAAGUACGCCUACGAAUACAACUUGAGUAAAUCCAUAAGGAUAUUGGAAGAAGUGUAACCUUAAAUAAAGUUUGAUUUGUUGUAAAAAUCUUUAAAAUUUUGAUCUCAUUCCAUCAAACUUAUCUAGCAUACUGAUUUGUGUCUUUGUAAUAUUUAUAGAAGAAAAAUUUCCUAGAUUUAGUUGUCAAGUUAAUUUACUUGCUUCCUUCAAUUGUAAAAUUUCUUGUUGUAGGUUCAAAACUUCUUCCAUAGACGUAGGAUUAGUGUUUCUAUAGUUGACACUAGUGAUGCAUGAAAUUUUCACUCUAUGAGUAUUAACAACUUUGUAAAGAUCUACAAUAGUUACAAAUCUAUUUUUACUUCUACCAAGUGUAGCAUUCAUGAAUUUUUCUUCUAUUUUAAAUAACUUAACAAAUCCAUAAGAUAAAUUAGAAGAAGGUAGUCUGCAACUUUUAAUAUCAAAUAAAAUUUAUUCUUUUUAAAGAAAAUAAUUGGUAUUAGAAAAUUAAAUCAUCUAUUUAAAUAUAAAUAAUCUGUAACUUUUAAAAUAAAAAAAUAGAAGUAAAAUAAUCCACUCACUUCUAAAACAAGAAAAGAACAAAAAAUGAGCAUUUUUCUCAAACUACCAAGGACAUGAACUUCAAAGAAUUAAAAUGUCAUUACACUCUCAUGACACUAAAAAACAAUAAAAAAUCACUGUAAGAUGAUAUUAUAUUAAACUAGAAUGGCUAUUGUUAAAGAUAAGAAGACUAGAAAGUCUUAAAAUAAGACUAAGGAUUGAAAAGGUAUUGAAAAGAGUGAAGAAAGCUUCAAGCUUGCUUCCAUAUAUACUCUUAACUAAGAGCCAUGUGACAAUAUCCUAUAGGAUCUUCAAAACUUAUUGACUUUGUAAGACAUAUAUCUUAACUUAUAAGACAAGUUUUCUAUAUGCACUCCAUAUAGUUAGCUUAUUCUAUAAGCUUCCAGUACAUGAUUAAUUUAUUAAUCAAGUUUCUAUCAUACCAAUCAAUUACAAAUUUAUUUAAAGUCAAAGUCAAAAUAGUGUCUAUAAAGCUUCUAAGAAGCUUUUCUAGAAAAUAUAAUGAAAUAUAUCUACUUUUAUCUAUUUUUAUUUAAUCAUGUAGGUAAAUAUCAUAAUAAAUAUAUAUGUCUAUGAAAGUGUAAUUUUACAAUCACUAGCAUAAUUUGGCAUGAGAUACAAUGGACCAUAUACUUGACACUUCACAAUAGAAUUAAUAGUACUCUACAAAUAUUAUGUAAUAAGGCUUUAUCUUGUAGGUAUCAAAAAAGAUAGCUUAAUCAGAUCUACUUCCUUAGAUAUUUGGCCACAAUAUAUUCAGCUAUGUAAUUAUAUAUCUAUAUGUCAAAAAUCUAAAGAUCAAUGACUUAGAGGUGACAUGGCCUAGCAAGAUUAUCUGUUCUUGAGACCCAUCAGCAAUAUUCCCCAAAAAAUAUAUUCUAUGACUUCUAUGGUCAAAAAAAGAUCAUACCUUAAUAAUUAUGCAUUUUCUUAUAUCCUCAAUAAAAAAAGUUCAUGAAUCUUGAAUCAACAACUAUCUAAGCAUUAAAAUAAAGCCUCUACAAAUAGAUAUUAUCUUCUUCUUAAUCAUGAAUUUUUACUUUGAAGUUUUUCUUAUUUCAAUUUACAUAUCUAAGUUAGAGACCUUAUCUAUUGCCUAAUGAAUUAAAGUUAUAGAAUUAAAUUCUUAAUGUAAAGAAGAAAACUCUUUAACAUAAUUAUAUACAAAAAAAAAUACAAUCUUGAAGUCUUUUUUUUUGUUUUGUUUUUAGCUCUUCAAAAUUAAAAUGACAUCAUGAGAGAAGGUCUUUAUUUUUAGUCAAAGUACAUUCAAGAUUUCUAAGAUUUCCAAGGUAUCCAAGAAUUCUAAGAAGUUAAUAAAGAAUAAUCAAUAUAUAAUGUAAUUCAUUACUCCUCCUAUUUCUAAUUAUUUUAUGAAAUUAAAUAUUAUCUUGUGCAAUGUAAGGAUAUUAAAUGAUCUUCCAAAAAUCUUAAAAGUACACAAUUACAUAUAAAGUAUUAUUUAAUGUAUAAUAUUAAGUUCCUACCAAAUCAUAAAUUAUGUAGAUUAAGAGUAAAUAAUUUGAAAUAUAUUAUUGAUCUAUUGCAAGAUUUUUUAUUUUGAAAGCCAAAUGAAAUUAGGUUCAUAAUCCAAAUGAAGCAAGUAUUAGUAAAGUAUGCAUCCAAGUUUCUCUUUUUAAUAAUCUUUAUAAAAAAAAUUAAAUAUCUAUAAAAUAUAAAAAAACUAUAAUUAUAUUAUUUAAUAAUAAUCUAUGUAAAUUAAAAAUAAUUUAAAUAAUUAUUUAUCUAAGCCAUUAAAUAUACAUAAAAUUAAAAAAUUUAUGAAAGAGAUGGCUCAAAACAAAGAAUGUGGCUCAAAUAGAGUAAAUCUUGAAUUUUUCUAAAUAUUUUGGCAAAUAUUUGGUAAUAAUUAUAUUUCUAUAACUAAUCAUAUUUUAUCUCAAGGUCGGUUCUUACAUAGUGUUGUUAAAGAUCACAUUGUUUUUUGGACAAAGAAUAAGUCAGGUGAUUAGAUUCCCAUCACAAUAUUAAACGCUUCCUAUAAAAUUUGUACUAAAACCAUUCAACAAUAACUCCUAGUAGUUCUAAUAGAGAUUAUUCAACUUAAAUAAAUUACAUUUUUGUCUUUGAGGUCUAUUUUAGAUAACAUGUUAGUUUCUUAGAAGACCUUGAAUUAAUAUAAGACUUCAAAAAAAAUCCUUUUUACUUUUAAAAUUUAAUUUUAUAAAAGCCUAUGAUAAAUUUUCUUAGAACUUUAUAUGUAAAAUAUUAGAGAAACUUAGCUUUGACAAAAAAAUUCUUUAUAUGAUUAAAAAAUUAGUUUCUGUGAUGCAAGUAUAUCAAUUGGUAUUAAAAGAACUUUUACAAAUUAUUGCUCUAUAAAAAGAGUUAUGAAAAAAAGUUGCAUUUUAGCACUUUAGUUUCAUUUGGCUUUCAAAUUACUUAAAUUUUGAAAGCCAAAAUUACUUAAUAUUGAUAUUCAAAAAGUUGUCAAAUAAUAUUACCUAAAAGUUAUUUAUGUUCUUUAAAGCCUCAAUCAAUAAGUCAUUAGCUAAUAUAUUAAUGAAAUAAUGAUACUAGUAUCAUUAUUAAAAAUCUAAUGAAUCAAUUAUGAAAAAUAAAUUUGGAUAAAUAUAGAUAUCUAAUAAAGAUAAUAGUAAAAUCUUUGAAAUCUCCUACAGAAUUUUUUUUAAAUAUGUAAGAUGUCGAUCAAUUUUUUAUUAAUAGAAUAAUAUAAAAAUAAGAUUUUUGGUACUCCACCAAAAUCAAUAUUGUAGGUUGAGCUAUCAUUGUAAAUAACAUCUUACUUUUUCUACUAUAUUUAUUUUUAAUCAUGUGGAUUAAUUUUAAAAAGACUAUUCAAAAAUUUAAAAUAAUGGUUAGAAAUUUUUUACAAAAAAAUACUACUUUCUUAGGUUAGUCAAAAGUAACAUGAUUUGUUUGUACCAAAAGUUGUAAAGAAUUAGGCAUUUGCAUCAUCAACCUAGAAGAUGCCAUCAAAGCUCUCUUGUCUAUAUGGAUGUUAGAAGCUCUUCAAUUAUAUCAAACAAAUAUUCAAUAGUUUCUAAGAUUUAAAAGUACAAAUGUUAAAUCUAGGACUCUUAGAAUUAUAAUACUAAAUUUGACAUGGCCACCCAUUUCAAAUCAUAGAUAAAAUAUUUGGUCUAAAAUAUGGAAAAAAAUUAGCAAAGUUUGAACAAAGCUUUUUUAUUUAAUCUUCCUAUUUCUUUUCAUAAUAUGAGGAAUUAUUUUUGAUGUAUAGGAUCUUCAAUCUCCUUAAAUUGACACUCAUCUAGAAUCUCACCUAGAUAUAAUUUUCUACUAAAAUGGUCUUUAUUAUGUCAAAAAUCACUUUAUAGGGCCAAUAACUCCUAAUAUUGAAGAAAAAAUAUCUACAUAUCACAUUCGAUUAUUGUAUAGCUUUAUUAGGGAUUUAUUUAAUAUUUAUUCUUUACACUCUUAGAAAAAAAAUACUUCAAUAUAAUAUUAUCCUUCCAAAAUUCAAGGAUUAUAUUAGAUAAUAAAAAUUAAAAAUAGGUCAUUUUUUUCAAUUGGUCUUCCAACUUUCUUUGUAACAUCUAGCUAUAAAAGAAAAAAAAUUGUUUGUUCUAUUUAGUACCACAAAAAUCAAAAAACUUUGAGUAGGCAUUUAAUAUAAAACCCUUUACUUUGAUUCAAAACUUUUUUUUAAACAAGUAUUAAAAGAUAAUAAGAAUCAAGUAGAGGAUUUUCUUUAAAAAAAUAAAAUUAAAUCAACAUUAGAUGUACACUCUAAAUUCUUUGUAAUUGACAAUAGUCAUUCUAGUUUCUUUCUAUCUUAUAUCUAUCUACUAUUUGACUACUUUAACUCUUAUAUUUAUCUACUCUUUGACUACUUAUUUUCUUUUAGCAACACAAAAGUGAAUUGUCCUCUCAAAAUUUUAUCCUAAUUCAUAUCCUUGGCAUCUACUCUCAAGGACAAGAACUCGAUUAAAAAUUAAUUCAGUCAAGUGAGCCUUCCCUCAAAGAAAGGUAAUAAAAUAUAAAUAAAUAAGUAUGCAUAUUGAAAGAGAAAUUGGAAUGGCUAUUGCCAAAAGACAAGAAAACUAUAGACCCUUGAAACUAGACGAGAAGCAAGAAAGGAGUUGACAAAAGUGAAGAAGGCUUCACUCUUGUCUCUAUAUAUACUAUCUAACUAGAGGCUACGUGGCGAUGUUCUAUAGGACCUCCAAUAUGUGUUGACUUUGUAGAACACAUGCUUUGACUUACAAGGCAAGUUUUUCUACGUGUGGGCCACAUUGUUAGCUUGGUCUUCAAGCUAACAAUAUGUGUGGCACAUGGCCAACUUGUUGACCACGUUUCUAAUCCAAAAAGUCAAUUAAAGAUACAUAUAAAGCCAAAGUAGCAUCUAUAAAGCUUCUAGGAAGCUUUCAUACCAAAUACUAUAGAAUUAACAUACUUUUAUCUACUUUUACUUACUUCUACAUAUUUAUAUAUGUAAUUACUGGCUUAUAUGAGUAUAUCUGUGACAUUACCCCCUCUUCUUCUAGGGACGAGUUCCACGAGGAGCGGUCAUCAUAUAUUGAGAAAAAUCUAUGAUACGACAAAUUAUAUUUGUCACAUACUCUGAUCUUUGUUCUCUUCGAAGAUGAUUGAUAAGGCCUCUCAACCAUCGGUAGUGUCCCAUACCAAGGCAGGAAGAACACCCAGUUAUUUGAUCAUUAUUGAGGCAUUCAUAACUUCCUUCGAAUAAAGCAUUUGGAAUACCAUCACGAAUUGUUCCCACCUCUAGCAAAAUCACCAAACAUCAGGAGUCCCUUCUCAAAUCGUGAUACCAAAUGCGUCGUAUCUCACCAUCAAUUCGAUGAAGAACAUGUUGUUCUUGAAGAUCUUCAUCUCGAUUGCGUCGUCUUGAAGUUUGUGAAAAUCGUAACGUCUCAUCCGACAAGUAAGCAAAUAUAGGUUCUUGAGUUGAAUCCACUGGUUGUUGGUUCUCCAUCUCUUGAGUGUCACAAUUACAAAAAAGCUAUAAACAAUGAUUGAAAGUAGAAUGUUAUCUUGACUAGAUCUUGUUUCUUUUAUAAAGAAGGUUUUCAUCUUCAUUUUGAUGGAUGUCAUCAAUGAAAAGCCUCCACCGCCUUUAUUGCAUUUACAAGAUUCUUUAUUGGCUUCCAUGUGCGUUCACUAAUAUCAUAUCCGUGAUAAUGGACAAGAUAUUCCGCCGCCUUGAAUCUAAGACUUCUUCUACUUCAAACUCUUCAUUAUUGUCCACUUCUAUAGGAGGAGAUGGAGCUUAUCGUCUUCUUGGUAUAUCCACUAUCUUGUAUGAUUCAAGAAGAGACACGUAGAAUACUGAAUGGAUUUUCAUUGACUCUCUUAGAUAUAAAUGAUAUGCAACUGGAUUGAUUUGUGUAGAAAUAGAAAAUGGUCCAAGCCUUCGAUAGUCCAACUUGUGACAAGGAUGAGUGGUCUUGAUAUUACGAUGAAGAAGCUAUACGUUAUCACCCAAAUGGAAUGGUAGUUGUUUCUUUCGAUAGACAUCCGCAUUGAUCUUUUGUUGUUCUUGACCUUCUUUUAACUGCACCUUCAUCGUUGCAUGUAGCUCUGACAAAUGAAUCACCAAAUCUUUUCCAACAUGAUUAUCAACUUUUAAAAAGUCAAAAGCAUGAAGUCGUGGAUGAUAAUCAUAAUUAGCAAAAAAAGGUGUUUGUUUGUAGAAGAAUGUAUUAUAUUAUUAUAAGCAAACUCUACCAAUGGCAAAAGAAUUGUCCAAUCAUCUUGUUGGUAGUUAAUGGUACAUCUUAAAUAUUGCUCAAAACUUGAUUAACAUGCUCUGUUUGUCCAUCAGUUUGAGGAUGGAAUGUCGAAGAUAGUUUUAUAUCCACUUUUAGAAUCUUGAAAAGAAUCUGCCAAAAUCUUGAUAUAAAUUGAGUUUUCCUAUCUAAUAUAAUAUCCUUGGAUAAUCCAUGAUAGCGAUAGAUAUUGUCAAGAAAGAGCUUAGCUGUUUCUUGACAUGCGAUAGAUUUUGUACAUGGUACAAAAUAUGCCAUCUUGGUAAAACAGUCUACUAUCACGAAUAUAGAGUCAUAAGAACUUGAGAUUGAAAGAUCUGUAAUGAAGUCCAUAGAAAUAGAAGACCAUGAUUGUUCUGGAAUGGAUAAUGAUUAAAGAAGUCCAAAAGGUUGAUAACAAGGAGUUUUUGAUCUUGAGCAAACAUCACAUGAUUGUACAAAAUCUUUUAUUUCCUUCCACAUUUGAGGCCACCAAAAAUCCCUAGAUAUUAGCUCUAAAGUCUUAUUGUAUCCAAAAUAUCAUGUUGCUGGGAAGUCAUGACGAGCUUGAAGAAUACGUAAACGUACUUCUCCUUUUGUAACAUAUAGGCAUCCUUCGAAUUAGAGUAAGUUGUUCUUGAACUCGAAUUUAGAGCAAUCAUUUGAUUUAGAAGAAUUAUUCUUGAUAUCAUAAAUAAGAGGGUCUGAAGACAUACUUAACUGGACUUUCUUGAGAAAAUUUAAAUCAACAUUCAAUGUUGAUUUUAUUGCUUCAAGAUAAAAUUAUUCUGGCUUCAAGAGAACCAUUCUUUGUUGCUCAAAAGCUGCAUGUCCUUCUUUUGGUACAUGAUAAGAACGUGUAGACAAGGCAUUGAACAAACCUUGUUGUUUUCCUGGCCGAUAAGUGAUGAUGAACUCGAAUCUUGAUAAAGACAUGCUCCAACGAGCUUGACGAUGAUUUAAUAUGUGUAUUGACAUGAAAUACUCAAGGUUCUUGUGAUCCGUAUACAUGGUGACAAGAUUAGAAGUGCCUUCUAGAUAAUGAUGCCAUUCUUGAAAAGCAUCCACAAUUGCAAGAAGUUCUUUGUCAUGGAUCUCAUAAUUGAUUUCUGCUGCUGAGAAUUUUCUUGAAUGAAAGACUAUUGAAUGAAAAUUUUCAUUUGUUCCCAUUUGUGACAAAACUGCACCUAGAGCAAAGUCUGAUGCAUCUGUUUCCAUAAAGAACGCUUUGAAAAAAUCAACUUGAUACAAGAUUAGUGCAGAAAUAAAUGCUAUCUUCAAAGAUUCAAAAGCAACUUCCGCUUCUUGAUUCCAUUCGAGUUUGUCUUUACAAGUCAAAUAUAUAAGUGGAGCUGCAACUCGAGAGAAGUCUUUGAUGAAGAUCCGAUAGUAGUUGGCAAAUCUCAAAAAGCAUUGGAUAUCUCUUACCGUUUUUGGAAUCUUCCAAUCUAUAAUAGUUUGAACUUUCUUAGGAUCCAUCAUAAGUCCAUCAUUUGAAAUGAUAUAAUCUAAGAAAUCGACUUGAGUAGUGCGGAAUACACACUUUUCUAUCUUGGCAUAGAGUCUUGCAUCUAUUAAUUUUUGUAACGCAUAACGAAUAUGAAGUUCAUGUUCUUCUGGAUUCUUAGAAUAGAUCAAGAUAUUGUCUAGAUAAUAGACCACAAAAUCGUCCAAAAACUCUCAAAAAAUAUCAUUCAUUAAAUGUUGAAAAGCUGCUAGUGCAUUUGUAAGUCCAAAAGGCAUGACGUUGUAUUCAAAAUAUCCAUAUCUAGUUUGAAACACAGUCUUCCAUUCAUCUCCUUCUUUGAUGUGUACUAGAUUGUAUGCUCCCCGGAGAUCUAUUUUUGUAUAGAUUUUAGCUUGAUUUAGCUGAUCAAGAAGUCCAGAUAUUAAAGAUAGUGGAUAUCUGUUUUUGAUGGUAAUCUUGUUGAGUCCUCGAUAAUCAACACACAUCCACAAUGAUCUAUCUUUUUUCUUCACAAAUAGAAUUGGAGCUCCUGUCGGAGAUUUAGAAUGGCGUAUGAAAUUCUUGGCUAGAUUUUCUUCAAUAUACUCCUUGAGUUGAGUCAACUCAUUUUGAGAUAAACUGGAGAUUGGUCCAAAUGGCGGUUGUACUCUUUCUUGAAGGUCAAUUGAGCAAUCUUAGGAACGAUAAUUCGAGAGUGUAUCCGCAUUCUUUUUUUUCAAAUACAUCUUGAAAUUCUUGAUAUUGGCUUGGAAUGCCACGUGAAGUCUUUGCACCAUUAGAAACAGGUGUGGUAUAAAUAAUAUAUGGUGAUUCUUUCAUAUUAGUAUACAAGAAAGCUUUUGCACCUAUAAACACGGGUUUAAUUGAACUAGACUUAAGACUCUCUACUUGAUUAACUACAUUGUUAGUUAUACUUUUAAAGAAAGUAAGACUUCGAGAAAUCCAAUCUAUUUGAGGGUUGUAUUUUUCUAACCACGAUAAACCUAAAAUGAUUGGAUUAGAGGGAGAUAUAAUAAUAUUAAAUACUACAAAGCUAUUAUGACCAUUGAUUAUUACUUCUAUAAAAAGAGUUUGGUGAGUAAUAUCUCCAAAAGAUAAUGGACGACCAUCUAUGGCUUCUACAUGAACAGGUUUAGUUUUCUUAUUGUCGCACUUCUCAACAAAGUCAAUUGCUUGACUCAAUGUUUGAUGAUCAGGUAAGUUGAGCAUUAAUUUUUUAACCUCAUAUUGUAAUCCAUAGAGAAAUUGGCUAAUAAGUAUAGCAUCAUCUCACUUAAUAUCAGUUUCAAGUUGUUGAAAUUUUGAAGCAUAUAAUGUUACUGAUCGAUUGCCUUGUCGUAAAAUACGGAUCUUAUUGGUUGCAACAUGAAUUGCAUCAUGUUUUCCAUACAUGGAUCAAAAUUCUGCCAAAAAAGCCUCUAGAUUAUCCAAUAUUGGAUCUUGUCGUUCAAGAAAAGAUGAAAACCAUGAUAGUGCUAAUCCUGAAAGAAGCGUACGAAUGAAUCUAACUUGCGAUCACGGAGUUGGAUAGCUUUGGGGUUGAAGUUCAAUCACAAGUUGCACUUGAUUGAUAAAUCCUCGAAACUUGGAUCUGGUGCCAUCAAACUUCUCGAGUAGGAUAAUUCUUGGUUCUCUAACACUGGAAGGGCGUUCCACCAUAAGAGAAAGGAUAUGGUUUGGUGCAGAUGUUGAAGCAGCUCCAACCAUUUCUAUAUCUUUACUUCCUGCCAAGCUUCUUGUUCCUUGUUGUGGUAAAUUGAGUUGAUGCAUCGCAAGCAUUAACUCCCUCAAUUGCUCUUGCAUUUGUGCCAUUGCACUCUUCAUUUCAAGAAGUUCUGCCAUGAUAACACUUAGAAAAGAGAAGAUGUCUAAUAUCGCUCAAGACAAAUAGAAGAGAAGACUUGAGAACAAAGAAAAUACUAAGGACAAUAUCAAUUUAGAAGAGAGUAAUCUACAACUUCUAAUAUUCUUAUAUAUUAUUAAGAAAAAAGGAUAAUCCACUCUUAAUGAAGAUUAGACAAAGCUCUGAUAUUGUAGGUGUACUCUUAUCAAUCUUUCAAGGAUAAGAACUCGAUGAAAAAUUAAUUCAAACAAGUGAGCCUUCACUCAAAGAAAGGUAACAAAAUAUAAAUAAACAAGUAUGUAUAUUGAAAGAGAAACUAGAAUGGCUAUUGCCAAAAGAGAAGAAAAGUAGAGAUCCUUGAAACUAGACUAGAAGCAAGAAAGGAGUUGACAAAAGUGAAGAAGGCUUCACUCUUGUCUCUAUAUAUAUUAUCUAACUAGAGGCUAUGAGGCGACAAUCUAUAGGACCUCGAAUAUGUGUUGACUUUGUAGAACACAUGCCUUGACUUACAAGGCAAGUUUUUCUACGUGCGGACCACAUAGUUAGCUUGGUCUUUAAGCUAGCAACAUGUGUGGUACAUGGCCAACUUGUUGACCACGUUUCUAAUCCAAAAAGUCAAUUAAAGACACCUAUGAAGUUAAAGCAGCAUCUAUGAAGCUUCUAGGAAGCUUCUAAGAAGCUUUUGUAUUAAAUACUAUAGAAUUAACAUACUUUUAUAUACUUUUCCUUACUUCUGCCUAUUUGUAUAUGUAAUUAUUGGCUUACAUGAGUAUGUCCGUGACAUCUACUCACAUUUAAGUCUAAACAAUCUUGAGUCUCUUGCACAUUAGAAUUGGUAUUUCUUACACAAUAAGAUUACAAGAAUAAAUCUAUGUUUUUUAUUUAAUUUACACCUUUUAAGAAAUUUAUGUAGCCAUCUAUGAUUUCUUAUAUUGCCUAAAAAAAAAUUACAUUUAUUAAGUCAUUUAUUUAUUUUUCAACAAGUGAUUAUUUUUAACAUAUUAAAAUAUUCAAUAAAAAAUUUAUAGAUUAGCUUUUUUAAAAAAAUUAAAUUCAUAUAUAUUUUUCAUAUUAAAUUUAUUUUAUUAAAUAUACACAUUAUAUAAGUAUAGAUUUUUUUGAAAACAUAGUAUUUUACUAAAGUAAUAAAACGUAUAAGAGAGCUUUUUUAAAAAACAUCUUAUUCAAUAAAACAAUAUUUUCUAUAGCCUCAAUAGCCAUGGAUUAGAAACCAACUUGUAUAUUAGAUAAUGUGCCUAAUCUUAGAUAUAUUCGGCUCAAGCAUAUUUCUAAAAUAUAAUAUUGUUUCAACUUUAAAUGACAUAUAGGUGUAAAUGAUAAUGAUAUGUUGCAUUGGUGUUGUUUUUUGCUUCUUUUCUUUUUUUUUAAUAUAAAUCUAUUUAAAAACAAAAAAUAAUCUAUGCCAAAUAUAACCACAUAAAUACAGUUUCUUUCUAAGAUCUUGGUCUAUGUUAGAUGUAUAUUAAAUUAAAGUAGAAGUUAAAUUGAAAAAUACUUUGUCAUUGAGUGCCUUUUAAAUAUACAAAUUUUUAAAUAGAUCGAAUUUAAUUUGUGCAUGAUUUAAAAAUAUAAGUUAUCAAUUUAAAAUUUGUAGCUAAAAAUUGUGUUCAUACAAUUCAAUUAUAGUUUUUCUACAACACCAUAAAAUAUUUUAGUUGUGACUAUAAAUUUGUGUUUUUUGGAUUAAGAGACUAUGUAUCAUAUCUUAACAAAAAAUUAUUCUUAUUGAAAUUGUAUUUGAAUUUUGAAUCUAAAAACAAAUACAAAAUAUGUUAUUAGAAUUAUAAUUUUUAAUAUUUUGAAUUUCAAUAAUUAUUGUACAUUGUUGAUUAGAUUUGAUAUAUUCUUUAAUACCAACUUCAUCAAUUUUAAGGUUAUUUUAGAUUAAAAAAGAACUAAAUUUUACUAUAAAAAAUAGUAUAAUCCUAUCAAAGGCAAACUUUUGUCAUUGUGCUUUAUUCUGUAAGGAAUUAGAAUUUUAAAGAUCAUGUCUUGUACAAAAAUUAUUUCAAGGGUAGAGACAACCAAAUACAGUUCAGAAAUAUAUGGAGUUAAUAAAUACUUCUAUUUGGUGUUCUAUGCAAAUCAAAAUCCUAGUUUUUAAAAAACUUUAAAAGAUUGAAUUUUGAAUCUAGAAAGUAUAAAAUAGGCGAAAUUAAAUAUUAGAACAAUAUAUAUACUGUAUUAUUAAUUACUAGUGAUUUUUUUUUUAUAACUUCUUUACUGCGAAUUGAUUUUGAUCAGUGCAGUACAACAUACUUUUACAAUGAUAAACAAAAUUUACUCUAGUUAUAACUAUUUUUUUAAGAUUAUGUUAUAUUGUGCUAGCCUUCAGAUACAAAUUUUGAUUACUUGAUUAUUAAAGUUUUACAAAAAAUUAUUAUUAAAAAAAUUAGAGAAAUACCAAAUAUGCAACAAAUAUAUUUUUUGCAACAAAAACUUUUACAUUAAAUUCUAUAGUAAAAUAUGGAAAUUUCAUUAAAUUCCGGAAGUGAACUGUCUUGAAAGCCAAUUAGACACCCUUCAUUUUAUUUUUUGAAAACAAGAGGAUUCUAUCUUCAUUCUAUCACCCAAAUUAUUACAAACUAAAUAUGUUUUCUACAUCUCUGUUUUGGGGCCUCAAAAAUUAAUGACACAUUCAAACUGAGUCAACAAGGUCACGACAAAUAAAAAUAAAAAUAAGAAAACGCACAGCAAGACAAUUUGAACUUUCCACCAUCAACUAUCUAAGUAAUUUACCAUUCAUUCACGAAGACAGCGGCAUAUCAGAAGGUGGCGAAGAACAACAAAAAAAUAAGUCACUUAUAUCCCAGGGAUAACGCUGGUAUUCAUAUUUCUCUUAAGUACAUCACUCUCCAUAAUAUAAUCUUACUUUUAAGUUAGGCUAGCUAAGCCGUUUAUGAGAUGAGCAUUUCUUGUGUGUGUUACUCUGAUUUCUGAUUUCAAUGCCUUUUGCACCGGGUAUGGAUAGAACGUUUAUAAACAUACCAAUUACUGAAUACUAUUCAUUGAUUACCUGUUGCGCCAGUUAACACUCCAUGCCCUUACACCAAGAAAUACAAAGUUGAUCUUUAAAUUACUACUAACAAUCAGAGACAAGCCACUAAUACCAAGGUACAUAUUGUGGUUUCGCAAAUUAUGAAUUCACAAAUUUAUGACUCAGCCUCCUCUUCGUAGAGUAGCUGUACCGAAGCACAGCAAAGGCGCAGUCUGACCUGACGCUUCUACUCUCAUCAAAGGACAUUUUGUAAGCAUACUCCUCAGCUCGGGUAAAGGAAGUUCCUCCUUCACCAAGCCGGUCCACGACAAAACCAGUUGUUUAGCAUGCACUAAAUGUGUAUGUUCGAAUGAAGCUUACUCUGGUCCUCAAUUGACAGUUGGUAUAUUCCUAGCAACCUCAGACACAGGCUGGACAAAUUGAAAAGAAGGAAACCAACAACAAUGCGCCUCGAAACCCCAAACCAUAAACAACAGACAUUACAGUAUUUACAAUCUAUGACUCAAUGUCGACAAUGCCGACAACCCUCAAAGAACGUAACCUGCAAACUCCACAAAUCGGCAUAGAAGUAUCUCUCCAUAGCUCUUGCCGAACAGAGAUCGCACAUGAGUAGAGCAAAAGAAAGAGCGAGAGAAUAUAAAAAACUAAACAACAAUCCCAACCACAUCAUUAUCAAAUUAACAUAAGAAGAAAAACCAGCAAAUCGAAUAUCCAUAAUGAAUGGUGUGCACUUAAUUCAUCUGGUGUAAAAACAAAAAAAUCUCAAAAACAUUUGCAUGUUCCAUAUUAACAGACCAAUAAUGACCAACGUACGACCUAAGUUGCUCUCUGAGCUGCCUCCUUGGCAAGAAUUCGCUCUCUGAUCUUCGUCUUGGCCUGUGACUUGACACCCAUGAUGCCACCGCCCCAAUGCCUUCUAUGCUCGUCGUACUUCUCAUUGAAGUUCGCCUGCGUCCAUCAACCCCAUUUUCAGCCACACUCACCCUCGCAUUCUCGACCUCAACCCCAAAUACACCAUCUCAUUCUCUAAAUGAAACCACUACUCUUUCCACACGUCCAACCAAUUCUCCUCUGACCCCAUGUUCAAAACACCACCACUACAAUCUUUACAACCACCGCCACCUCCAAAACUGCUAAGCAUAACAUUCUUUCCACACGCACCUUCACUGCUUCGAUGAUCUUCGAAAACUCGUGCUUGUCCUCGUUUUUCACCGCUGUCAAACACAACGCUGUUGCAGUCUUCGCGUGCACAAUCUGUUCACACACCACAACCCCCUCUCCUUCAGAAAUCCACUCACUUGCCACACACGCUCCGCUUCCUGCAUUACAUCACCCUACUCAUCCUCCUCCAUCACUCUCCACUCUAUCCAUCCACAUUGCCCACUCCACUCUCGUCACUUCACCUGUCCCAACCGCGACUUCCCCUUCACGAUGCAGUACGGCACGCCCAUCUUCCGGCAAAGUGCCGGCAGCCACACUACCAGCUCGAUCGGGUCCACGUCGUGAGCGAUCACCACCAGCUGAGCCUUGUUCUGCAUUGUUCCAACCCCUUUACCCAGUCAAUCCCCACUCCGUCCCACCGUACCCCUCCCAACACAUGCCUCACAUCCGCUUCCGCUUACAAUCCCCCACAUCGCACCCGUCUCACAUCCAACCCACACAUCCAUUGCAGCUCAUUCAACCGCACCUGCUCGAUCAGGUACGUGAUGUGGUUGAUUCCGUAUUUCACCACCACAGGCUUCUUCGACUCCACGCUCUUGCCCUCUGCCUCAGCCUUUGCCUUGUUCAGAAGCCGCUCCUUCUUCGCCGCCUUGUCCUCAGGUCGGUACUCCAACAACAACUUGAACAAGCUCGUGGCUGCAUUCAUCCACCACAAUCGCUUCAACACCUCUCUCACAUUGCCACCACAACAGACCUAUCGAAAAUCCACCCCACAACAUUACAACCCUCCAGUUCGACAACAGCGACCUACCAAGAUUCUUGUCCAGAGUCUUCGUGAACUGGUUCAGAGCCGGAGGGACUUUCAAACGCUGGUUCAAAACACGUCGCUGGCGCUGAAUGCGCACGUACUUGGGCCAUUUCACGAACCGGUGGAGGUCCCGCUUGGGCGGAAGAGCUCCUCCAAUACCAAACUGCUUCGGCCUCUUCUCGAACAGAGGGUUCACAGUCUUCACUGGAGCCUGCUCCAAUCAUCAUAAAUCCCCCUCGUCGUUAUUAAAAUUUAGUGCGUCACAUUUACAGGCGCAUAUUACAGAUUACAUCCACACAAGCACCCUUCGAAUCCCGAGACACAAAAAUCAGAGAAUCCCUAACCUGCUUCUUCUGCACGGGAGCUGCGACCGGAGUCUUGAGAGUACCCCUCUUGGGAGCCUAGACAGGAACCACCAAGAGCUUCGUCAGAAAAUAAGAAACAAAACAGAAAAUAAUAAUAAUAAUAAUAAUAAUAAUAAACCUUAAACCAUGGACGAGAACAAGGAAGUAAACUUUAAAGCGUGAAUCGCGAAACUCCCAUACCCAUAGACAGCAACAUUCAUUCGGAAAUUGGCGACACUGAAAGGGAAUAGCCCAAAAAUGAAAGAGGAGGAGUGCGAUGAUGAUACCAUGGCGAAGGGCGAAGGGGGGGAUCAAGGCCGACGCAGAGCAGAGCAGAGCUGAGACGCGGGGGGAGGCAUGCCCAGCAAAAGAGACAACCCAGUCGGACUCCGCCAAACUCAUUCUCUGCUCUCCCUCGAGCCUGUCCCAGCCCUAAUCUCUCGUAGGUUUGGCAGUUAGUCCGAGCCUGCUGGGUUUCGGUUCGGAUGUAGGUUUGGUGCCUCGUCGGAGAAGUGUGUUCUAAUAUCAAGUUUACUUUUUGGUGAUUUUCACCCUCCUUUGAAAUUUGGAUGAUGUCUAAAACCCAAAUUCGACAAGAUUGACCUGAACUGAUUUGUUUGUUUUUUUAUUAAAAGAUGAAAUUUUCGUUUUUGAUAAAUAAAUUUAAAUAACAAAAAAAAACACAAAACAAAACAAAACAAAAACAAAAACAAACAACAACAACAACUUGUAUAUGGAUAUGACGAUUACUAUUAAUUAACAGGAGCAGCAUAUUUGUGUAUGGUUUAGAAUAAGAACUAUAGUAUAUCUACAUAAAAAUUCAUUUUCUGUUGUUAACUUUUGGAGUGAACCCACUUGUAUCUCUGUGAGUAAUGACUGACUUUACAAUUUACAAGUAAUAUUAAAUGUAUCAGCUGUGUAUUUGGGAAAACUCAAGAACUUUUAUCUAUUUAUAAGUUUUAAUUUUUUUCACUAAAAAAAUAUCAAAUAAAAUACUUCGUUAUUUCUUUUUUCUUUGUUCCUUUUCAAGUUCAUCGUAUAAAUCAUCUCUAGACAAUGUCAUGUUCAUUAUAUGUUAAUCGCCAGAUAAUAUGUAUUUCCUUCUGAUCUUGUUUCCACAAUACAAAAUACUGUAGAGACUAUUCAACAAAAAAUAUACAUAUAUUACAAUUAAUUCUAUUUGAACUCUUAAUUUUUAGAAGUAAUUGAAUCCAUGACAUAUUUGCAUUAAGGAUCAUUUAGUUGUAAUAGAAUUUCUAGAAUGUUAAAUUAUCAUGGAGUCACUUCAUUGGGGAAAUAUUUUUUAUUUUAUUUUAUUUGUUCUUAUUAAAUUCAAUCAUGCUCUUGAUCACUGGUGUUUUGCAAAAGCCUUGAAACGUGAUUAACAUUUAUCCUUUUCAGAAAUCCUAUGCACUUUGAAAUUGCUAACUUGGAAUCGCAUGCUAAAGAAUUCAAUUGAAUAUGCAUAAUGAUCGGUCAUUUGUAACUCAACAGGUUUGAUUGAAUGAUGAAUAGGUUUUCUAUUGUUUCAAUAAUGAAAAUGGUAGGUCCAACAAGAAGGGACUUAGAUGUGGCAGACAAGCUGCAGGAUGGGCUGCGGAAGUAUCUUGUGUAGGAUAUAUUAACACAUAUAUAAUAUAUAUUAGUAGAAUAUUCAAAUGCAUACAGGUGUACACAGUGACCCAAACAAUUGUGUCUGUAGUUUGUUACUUACGACCUGACCUUCAUGUAUCAAUCCUACUGUUAUUAUUAUUCAAUAUAGAAUUAUGCAAUUCUCCCAAUCUCUAAUAAUUCUACAUGAUAUCAGAGCUACAUCAUGAUCAUCCAUAAUAUUCAUAUGAAAAAUGCCAAUACAUCAACGACCAGAUAUAAAGAUUAUAGUUGGUGCUAAGUCUCCAAUCUUUCAUUUCAUAGAAGACAAUGCUCACCCUGCACAAAUCAAAAUAUUGCGUGUAAAUAUAAUAGACAUAGAAGUAUUUUCAACAAUAUUUUCAACAAUAUUUUCAAAUUUAUAAAGAAUGAUGAAUUUCAGUAUAUAGUGAAAUCAUACCACUAAGGAUGACACACACGGUUGAUAUAAGCUAUGUUUCUUAGUUUGAUGGAUCUCACUUUAACAUUUGGCAACAUCAAUUAUCAUUAGUUUUCAAAGCAAUUAAAUUAUGGUCAAUAGUAAGUAGUUGUGAAUCUAUACCAAUUUACACCAAUUGUAGCUGAAAUAGCUCCUAGUAUCCCACCUUUGACUGCUAUAAGAACAAGCAGUAUAAAUUAGUGGCAGGACAAGUAUGCAUUUUUUUUUUUCCAAUUAUUAAUAAUUGAAUUGAAAACAAUAUUUUCUACUAUAUAGAAUCAUAUAAAACCUUAAAUGAUGCAUUAAAAAGUAUUUAAAAGUGUAUUUGAAGUACAAGAUGCAAUUGCAAAAAUGUAUCUUAAAGACACACUCUUCAGAUGAAAGAGAAUGAGGGAGUAAUUAAACACAUUCAUGUAUUUAAAUCACACCUUGAAAAACUACUUGUAACAUGGUGUCCACUUCUAAAUGGUGAAACAAUUUCAACUUUGAUGAGAAGUCUGCCACCAUCUUACAGACCAUUUAUUAGUUUUUUAAUAUACCAACUAUGUAUUACUCUACAAUCACUCAUAAUAGAUUUAAUUCAAGAACAAACUUUACCAAAAGACAUUAACUUCCAAAAAUACACCAGUCCUUUAUGUAGAAAAUAACUCUUAUAAUAGUAAAAAUCCUUUUUUAAUAAUUCAAUUCAAUUCAAUUCAAUUCAAACAAAACAAAAAAAAAAAAAAAAAAAAAAAAAAAUCUUCUUAACCAUUUGAGAAGAACAUCUAAACUUUUUGAUAAAGUGUGCUUCUAUUAUUUAAAUAACUUGGAAAUAAAUUUCAAGAAUGCAAAACACUGCUCACUCAGAAAAAUGAAAACAAUCAAAUAUGUCCACAAAACCAAAUAAGCUUUAAACAGUUGCUUUGAUAUCUCAAGAAGAUUCUAUAUCUACUUGAUACAUAAAUUUUGGAGCAACCCAACAUAUGUGUGAUUAAUUUAAUGUUUUUUACAAUUAUACAAAUAUAACACUUAACAACUUAUAUACUUAGAUGUUGACAUCACAUCCUAUUACAUAGAAAGACAUGGCAAUAUCACUAUCAAACUUUCAAAUGAUAGAAAAGAAAUUACUUGAAGUUUAAGAUGUUGACACUAUGUAAUGAAUCCAAAAACAUUAUUGCCAAAUAAAAAUCAAACCUUAAUUUAUAUGAAUUAGAUAUCACUAAAAUAUCUAAUUACAAAACAUUGGCUAUAUCAGCUACUAUACAAUUGAACAAAGUCAAUUUAUGAUAUUAACAACUUGACCAUAUAAAUCAGCACAAAUUGAGAUAGCUUUAAUUAUUGUCAACUAACAAGGAUACUUUUGAUUCAUAAGACAUCAAUUUUUAUUAUUUGUGAGUUGAAGGAAAAUAUUUUAAAACCAAGUUUUCAAGAGGAGUAGGAAAAAGAGCUUCACAACUUUUGGAUCUUAUCUAUUGUAACAUAUGCAACUAUAUGCAAGUUGCAACUCAUUCUAAAUACACAUAUUUUAUUGCUUUUAUUGAUGACUUUUCUAAAUAUUAUCAUGUCUACUUAUUAAGAUAUAAAUUUAGAAUACUUGAUAAAUUUAUGUAUUACAAUUUUUUAUAUAAAAUUAAAUUAAUUACAAAAUUAAAACCUUACAAUCUAGUUGUAGAGAUGAAUAUAAAUUUGAAUUAUUUAAUAAUUUUUAUAAUAAAUAUGGUAUCAAAUAAUAAUUUAUAAUAGCUUAUAUAUUACAAUAGAAUUUUCUCUCAAAAAAAAAAUAGACAUCAGUAGAGGUAGUUUUAUCUAUGUAGCUUAUAUUCAUUCAUUUAAAAUAAUUUUGGAUAAAGUAUUUGUUUCUCUUCUAAAUUUAUCUUUAAAAAUAAUUUUAAUUUCUUAAUUAUUUAAUAUAAUUUAACAUAUUAAAUAAUAAAAUUUACAUUCUUUUUAAGGUAUAAUUUAGAUUUUAUUUGAUAAAAAAUAUUAAUCAAAAGAAAAAAAGAUGUGGUAUAAAAAGAAGAAAAAAAAUCAAUAAAAAUGAAAAGAAAAGAAAAGACUUAGUAUAAAAAGAAUUAAAAGAAAGCUAGUGUAAACAAAAUUAAGAAAAUAGGAAUUAGUGUGAAAAGACAAAGUGGUUAGCUGCCAAUGUGUGAAAAAGAAAAUGUACUUAAACCCACAUUAGGUUUUUAUGGUAUUUAGAAAUAAAAUAGUUUUACUAAGCUCAAAUAACAUUAAAUAAAAUUUAAUAUAGAAAAGCUACAAAUAGCUACAAAUACAUAUUAUAAAUAUCAUAAGAAAAAUCAUGAUAAAGAAGUUAUAAUUAAUAUUCUAUUAUGUCAUUUUAUUAUAAACUUUUGAUCUACUAAUAAGUUAUAAGUCUUAUAAGGAAGAUUUACAAAGAUCUUUAAGAUUUACAACACAAAGAAGAAAGAAGCUUAGAAGACAAGAUUGACAAUGAUGACACAUGCAAAUAUGUAGAAAUUAUGUUCUACUUCAAAAUGAAUGACAUCAAUGGACUCCUUCAAUAUUGACAAAGACAUGAUAGAAUAUAAAGAAAAAAUUAAAGAAGAAAAAUAUCAUAUAUAGGUUUAAAUUUUAAAUGACUAAUCUCCAUUUCAAUUUUAUCUCAAUCGUAAGAAACUUAUAUCAAGGCUAUAAUUUUUAGAAGAUAAAGAACAAUCUUCAUCAAAGGUUAAUAUAGUUUCAUAUUAGAAAGAAGUAUUAUAUAUAAAAAUAAUAUGAAAUAUUGUAUGAGUUUGAUUUUAAGAUUUUAAGAGAUUGUUUCUUUUUUUAUAAGCUUUUUAGAAAGCUCUCACAUGCUCCAAUAGGAAUUAAUAUAAAAUAAGAGUAUUUUUUUGGAUAAAAAACUAACCACUUUUUAGGAUUUUUUUUUUGAAGUUCUUUUCUUAGUAUAUUCUGAAUUUAGAUUUAAGAUUUUGAUAAUUUUUUCCUCUCUUUAUAAGCAUUCAAAAAAGCUUUCACUUGCUUCAAGAAGAGUUACCAUAAAGUAGCGGUGCUUUUUUAGAUAAAGAUUAAGUGAACUACUCUGUAAGAUUUUUUUUUGGAGGCUUUUUCUUAGUAUAUUUAGAAUUUGGUUUUGAAAUUUUGAAGAGUUAUUUCUCACUUUAUAAGCUUUUUAAAAAUCUCUUAUUUACUUUAAGAAAAAUUAGUAAAAAGCUGUGGGUUUUUUUUUUUUUUUUGAUAGAAAAGAGUCAGUUGCUUUUUGCUAAUAUGAUUUUUGGCUUUGUUUGCUCAUAAAGAAUGUUAUUGAUAAUUUUAGGAAGUUAGAUUUUGUGUGUAUAUGUGAGAACUGAAUAGCCCUCUAAAGAGCCAUUAUAUGCUUAAAUUUAAUGAAGUAAAGAGCUAUAGCAUCUAUUUGAUUGAAAAGAAGUGUCAAUUGUGACAUACAAUCAAGAGCUACUAUAUACAAAGAAGGUGGUGGAAUUCAUUUGAAUGAAAGAUAGUCUUUGAUCAUAUAUAAUUGCAACUAAAAACCAUGUGUUUUUCUAAAGCAAACUCUCUUAUUGUGACAUUUGAUACUAUUAUAGAGAAAAGCUUUAAGGCUAUCAGGUUGGUCAAAAGAAGAUGGAAGAUACAAAGUAAAGAGAUUUAAAUAGUAGAAGUGAUCAAAAUCUCAUAGACAAUUUUUUAAGGAUUAUUCAAAUAUUUAUGGACCAAUAAGUUACCAAUGCAAAUGAGUAAGGAGCCAUCAAAGCAUUUAAAGGUCUAAUUGAUAAAAUAAAGACGUUUGAUGGAAAAAAUAUCAUUAGAUUUUUUAGGAUCUAAACCUGUAAAAUUGAAAUCAAUCAAGUUGUAGAAGCCAAAAUAAUUGAGAUCUUUGAUAUAGCAAUUGUUUUAAAAAUCAGAAAAAAAUGAAAUACUUCUAUGGGAGCAUUUAUGUAAAUACAUGGAUUAGAUUUGAGAAAAGAUUUAGACAUGAAUACUUUGAUGAAGACAUUGAAAGUAUGUCUAAAAGAAGUUUUCUUGAUAGGAUAUACAUAUAAUCAAAUAAACAUAUAAUACCAAAUAAGCUACUAAAGGAGUUUGAAAAGAAAUUCAAACAACUUCAAUUAUCUAAGAAGUGCCUUAUAGAGCUCAAGAAAUUAGAAUUGUUUUAGCAAGCUGUAGGUGAGACAUUAGAAGAUAAGAUUGCUUUUCUUUCUUGAAGAUGAAACAAAAAAAAGUGGUUUUACUACCAAUUGAAGAAUAUUAGAAGAAUCUAAGAGCAUCAUUGUUAAGCAAUACUUUGUGAAAGCUAAAAGAUUAUAGGUCAAAAUAAAAAUAACAUCAAUGAUAGCUGUGAAGAUUCUAGCAACAACUUUGCUUAUUUCUAUUCCAUCAAGCUCUUCAAAAGAUAAGACUAUAGACAAAGAUAUCAUCAAAGAGUUAACAAGGAGAAUAGAAGAAUUGAAGAUAAAAUUAAAUGCAUUAAAGAAAAAUACAAGGUCAAGUACUUUAUGAUUGACUAAAGGAUCAAAAGAGUUUGUAGUGAGAUGCAUUUGGUAUAAUGAUUCAAAUGACUAAUGUAGUGAUUGUGGAUCAUAUAAAGAUACCAUGAAGAGUGGUAUUAUUACCUUUAAAAGAAAGAGAAUCAAAGAUGUUGUAAUUAAUGAGGUACUAGAGAUUAACUUUGAUAGAGAUGGCUUAAAGAAAUUGAUAGAAGAUAGGUUGAGAAGAAGCAGAUCUUCAUGUAAUAAUGAGAUAGAGAAUUUUAUCAUUGAGAUCGAGCAUAACAAAGUGGGAACCUCUAUACAUAUAUUUAAAUUAGUGAUGGUGAUGGGAGUACAAAUUGUCAAAAGAUUAACUGAGUGGAAUGAACUAGUUGACACAAAUACCAUCAAGGCCUAUUUGAUAAGUGACCAUGGUGACAAAGAAUCUUAUGAUAUAUUAGUAGAGGUCAAGAAGGGUAAAAUUGAUCAAGUAGAAGAAUUAAUUAAUAUAAAAAAGAUGCUAAAUAGUACAAAGAUUAUUUCAAAAGAUGAUUUAGUAAGUAAUACAAGGCAAAAAGUAUGACAUUCUACUUUACAUCCAAGAAAUAAUAUUCUGCUCUUAAAAGAGAAGUGGGAAGAGAGGAUGAACAAUAGCAAGGACAAGGAGAAAGAAGACAAUACUAAGGAAAAUGAUAAUGUACGAGCCUAAAAACUUCAAUUUAAUAUCAAAUCCUCUAUUGACAUCAUGGAUAUUUUUGAAGUAAAGAAUUAAGAUACCAAGAUUGAGUUUAUUUUGAGAGAAACUCUAUCAAUGACAAGAAUUCGAUAAAAAAAUAAUUCAGAUAAGUAAGCCUUCACUCAAAGAAAGGUAAUAAAAUAUAAAAAAAUAAGUAUGUAUAUUCAAAGAGAAACUCGAAUGGCUAUUGCUAGAAGACAAGAAAACUAAAGACCCUUGAAACUAGAUGAGCAGCAAGAAAAGAAUUGACAAAAGUGAAGAAGGCUUCACUCUUGUUUCUACAUAUACUAUUUAACUAGAGGCUACAUGGCGACAUUCUAUAAGACCUCUAAAAUGUGUUGACUUUGUAGAACACAUGCCUUGACUUACAAGGCAAAAUUUUCUACGUGUGGACCACAUUAUUAACUUGGUCUUCAAGCUAACAACAUGUGUGGUACAUUGCCAACUUGUUGACCACGUUUCUAAUCCAAAAAGUCAAUUAAAGACACAUAUAAAGCCAAAGUAGCAUCUAUAAAGCUUCUAGGCAGCUUCCAUAUCAAAUACUAUAGAAUUAACUUACUUUUAUCUACUUUUACUUACUUCUACAUAUUUAUAUAUGUAAUUAUUGGCUUAUUUGAGUAUAUCCGUGACAUUACCCCCUCCCCUUCUAGGGACGAGUUCCACGAGGAGCAGUCAUCAUAUGUUGAAAAAAUCUAUGAUACGACGAAUUAUAUUUGUCACAUACUCUGAUCUUUGUUCUCUUCGAAGAUGAUUGAUAAGGCCUCUCAACCAUUGGCAGUGUCCCAUACCAAGGCAGGAAGAACACCCAGUUAUUUGAUCAUUGUUGAGGCCUUCAUAACUUCCUUCGAAUAGAACAUUUGGAAUACCAUCAAGAAUUGUUUCUACCUCUAGUAAAAUCACCAAACAUCAGGAGUCUCUUUCCAAAUUGUGAUACUAAACGUGUUGUAUCUCACCAUCAAUUCGAUGAAGAACAUGUUGUUCUUGAAGAUCUUUAUCUCAAUUGCAUCGUCCUGAAGUUUGUGACAAUCUUAAUGUCUUAUCCGACAAGUCAGCAAAUGAAGGCUCUUGAGUUGAAUCCGUUGGUUGUUGGUUCUCCAUCUCCUCAGCGUCACAACUAUAAAGAAGUUAUAAACAAGGAUUGAAAGUAGAAUGUUAUCUUGACUAGAUCUUCUUUCUUUUAUGAAGAAGAUUUUCAUCUUGAUUUUGAUGGAUGUCGUCGAUGAAAAGUCUCCACCGCCUUUAUUGCAUUUGCAAGAUUCUUUAUUGGCUUCCAUGGGCGUUCACUAAUAUCAUAUCCGUGCCAAUGGACAAGAUAUUGCAAUUUAUUUUGGCACCACCUUGAAUCUAAGACUUCUUCUAUUUCAAACUCUUUAUUAUUGUCCACUUCUAUAGGAAGAGGUGGAACUUAUCAUCUUCUUAGUAUAUCCACUAUCUUGUAUGAUUCAAGAAGAGAAACAUGGAAUAUUGGAUGGAUUUUCAUUGACUCUAGUAAAUGUAAAUGAUAUGCAACUGGAUUGAUUUGUGUAGAAAUAGAAAAUGGUCCAAGCCUUCGAUAGUCCAACUUUUGACAAGGACAAGUGGUCUUGAUGUUACGAUAAAGUAGCCAUACCUUAUCAUCCAAGUGGAAUGGUGGUUAUUUCUUUCGAUAGACAUCUACAUUGACCUUUUGAUUUUCUUAAGCUUCUUUUAACUGCACUUUCAUUGUUGCAUGUAGCUCUGACAAAUGAAUCACCAAAUCUUUCCCAAAAGGAUUAUCAACUUUUAAAAAGUCAAAAGUAUGAAGUCGUGGAUGAUAACCAUAAUUAGCAAAGAGAGGUGUUUGUUUAUAGAAGAAUGUAAUAUAUUAUUGUAAAAAAAUUUUGCCAAUGGCAAAAGAGUUGUCCAAUCAUCCUAUUGGUAGUUAAUGGUAUAUCUUAAAUAUUGCUCCAAAACUUGAUUAACACGCUCCGUUUGUCUAUCAGUUUAAGAAUGGAACGUCAAAAAUAGUUUUAUAUCCACUUUUAGAAUCUUGAAAAGAGUCCGCCAAAAUCUUGAUAUAAAUUGAGUUCUCUUAUCAGAUAUAAUAUCUUUGGAUAAUCCAUGAUAGCGAUAGAUAUUGUCAAGAAAGACCUUAGCUGUUUCUUCACAUGUGAUAGAUUUUGUAUAUGGUACAAAAUGUGCCAUCUUGGUAAAAUGAUCUGCUAUCAUGAAUAUAGAGUCAUAAGAACCUGAGAUUGAAAGAUCUAUGAUGAAGUCCAUAGAAAUAGAAGACCAUGGUUGUUCGGGAAUGGAUAAUGGUUGAAGAAGUCCAAAAGGUUGAUGACGAGGAGUUUUUGAUCUUGAGCAAACAUCACAUGAUUGUACUAAAUCUUUGAUUGCCUUUCACAUUUGAGGCCACCAAAAAUCCCUAGAUAUUAGCUCCAAAGUCUUAUUGUAUCCAAAAUGUCCUGGUGUUGGGAAGUCAUGACGAGCUUGAAGAAUACGUAACAUACUUCUUCUUCUACAACAUAUAGGCAUCCUUCAAAAUAGAGUAGGUUGUUCUUGAACUCGAAUUUAGAAGGGUCAUUUGAUUUAGAAGAAUUAUUCUUGAUAUCAUGAACAAGAGGGUCUGAAGACAUACUAAACUGGACUUGCUUGAGAA
rnacentral:lncRNA from 1 species